GUAAGUGUUUCACUAUCUCAUCAUUUCAAAUUCCAAAUUUCCAUAGUGUUGGGUUACCUUGUGGAAUAAUUUUGUGAUUCAUUUAUGUGCUUUGGUCUAUAACAGAGCAUACCUAUAUGGUGGAGAUGGUACUACUGGGCUUGUCCAGUAGCAUGGACCUUGUAUGGAUUGGUUGUAUCACAGUUUGGAGAUAUCCAGAAACCACUUUCCGAAACUCAAACAGUAGAAAAAUAUGUGAAGGAAUAUUUUGGUUUCGACCAUGAUUUUCUUGGAGUAGUCGCAGGGGCACAUGUUGGGUGGACUGCCCUCUUUGCUUUCAUAUUUGCCUUUGCUAUCAAGGCUUUCAACUUCCAGAGGCGAUAGAAAUUUUAUUUAUACACACACAUAUAUAUGCUUUUACUUUAUUUUUAAUUCGUUUACUUUCUGUAUAGGCUAUGUAGGUUUUAUUGUCAAUUUCGCAAGGCGCUUAAAGCUAUAUUAAUACGAGUACAAGAAUUUCUUGGUAUUGCUUUAAAGCUUGCCUAAAGCAAUGAAUGCCCCCCUUCUUCUUGGCAUAUUUAUAUAUAUAUUUUUAAUUAUUGCAUGUCUGCUUUUGAAUCUGCCGAACAGUGUAUGCUUAUUUUCCAUUUGAUAAUAAAGAGAAACCUCAGGUCAUCCGUCCAAGAUCGGAAAAAUUGUGAGUACGUACAUUGCUUCCAUAAAGACCAAAUACCAACAGCCUAAUAAAUCACAAUCGUUCAGGAGAACAAUAUUUUAGAGAAGAUCGACACACAAAUCAUCGCAGUUUUCAUCUAGUUGGGUACCUUAAUUCCUCUUCCACAAAUUAAGUUUAGCAGGGAGAGAAUUCUUACAGGUUCUCCAAACAAAGUUCUCAGCGUGCGGAGGAACCUAGAGGUGCCACAUUUGCCUCUACCAUGACCUUGUUUUGCUGAGAAAUUGCCUCAGAAAUACCAACCCGAUCAAACUGCACAACCAUGUUGACUAAUUGCUUGUGCGUUUGGUUUGUGUGAGGACAAAGGAUCUGUCUCGAUUGGCAGAUGGCGGGUCUUCCAUUGGAGAUAGCAUUGAUGAACCUUGGAGUACAGUUGCCCGUGGGUUAGAUGAGAGUGUACUUGUCUUUUGUCUGAGUUGAAAUAAAUAAAUAAGAAAAAGGAAUAUUAAUAAUUAAUAGGAUUAAUUAGGAUUUUUCCUACAGUCAAUAACAAGAGUAUUACAAUUUUCAUGAUCGAUGAUGAAGGAAUAUUUCGAUCAUUUGACAAAACUGAGGAAUUUCGAUCAUUCAUUGUGGGACGAAGGAUUGCAGAUGAGCUUUACAUCCCAUUUGACAAAACUAGGAAUCAUCCAGCUGCUUUGGCAACCAAACAGUAUGGGAUUAGAAUGUUAGAUCUGAUUAAAGCUAACUUGUCAAGAGAAUACAUGAUCAUGAAGAGGAACUCCUCGAAAUUGUAAUGGUCCUCUUCAUUCUAGCAAAUUACAAGUGCUUGUCUUAUUUAUAGCGUUACUGGAAACUUUCAGAUGUUCAUUGAUGAAGUCAGGGAGCUUGUCGAGUUGAAUUCAUUGCAGCAAGCACUAGAUGGGUUGCCUGGUGCGAAUAUUGGUCUAUCCACCGAGCAGCUCAAGCGGCUAACAAUUGCGGUUGGAACUUAAUGCAAAUCCCUCUAUAAUUCAUGGACGAGCCAACUUCAGGACUAGAUGCUAGAGCUGCUGCAAUUGUGAUGAAAACUGCUAUGAACACAGUGGACACAUGAAGAACAGUUGUAUGCACCAUCCAUCAGCCCGACUUGAACAUAUUUGAAGCUUUCGAUGAGGUAAAAGUUGUAAACAGAUUCUCCCAAUCAGAACAUUGCUGUGCGUUCAUCAGAAAAAUAAUUUGGAUUUUUUUGACUCGGUAUUAUAGCUAUUCCUGAUGAUGCAAGGAGGACAAGAGAUAAUGUAGGGACGUUGGGUCCUACUCUACUCAUUUAAUUAUGAAAAGGUAUAGUUACAUUGAUCAAGUUUUAAUAAAUUUACUUUUUAAAAAUCACCAGUUUGAAUUUUAAAAACGUUAAAAUCACUAAAGUUUUAUAUAAUUAUUAACUCCAGGAUUUCGAAAGAUUAAGUGUAUAAACUAACUUAAUCACUUACAAUUACCAAAAAAAAAAAAACAAAAAAACUUCGAGGUUUGCUUGAUAUGAUCAAUAAUAUGUAAACACAAACAACUUAAUAUUUUUUAGCGUAAUUACUUAUUAUAUUAUCAAUAUUAGGUAAUUGAAAAAUUACAACUCCAAUACUUUUUAGCGUGGUAAUGUGAUGUAAAUCUUUUUAAAAAAAUAUAUUUGAACUAAAAAAAUAUCAAAUUAAUAUUUUUUUUACUAAAUAUUAAUAAAAAAUAUUUACAAAUAUUAAAUUGAUACUUUUAUAAUAACAAGUAUAGCGUAAAUUCAUUGAAAUGUUUCUUUCUUUUUCUUCUUCUUGUUUUUUUUUUUUUGUUGUGAAUCCAUGUUGUCUAAUAAUAAAAAUACUUUUCUUAAGUAUCAUGGUGUCAUUGGGUCAAUUUUCUUUCACGAUGAUAACAAAAGAAUUGAACCUACUUAAUAAUUACAAUCUAAAAUAAUACCACAAUUAGCAACAUUACCAAGUUGAUUAAUUAAUUUAAUUUGCAAAACCUUUUAUUCUUACACCAACAGUUUGUGGGAUUUUUCAAAUAUUUAAAAUUCAAAUUUCUCUAUAAUUUCUUAUAAUUCAACACAGACAAUCAGUAAUUCUGGCCAGCACCUCACAAUUGGGAAGUCCUCUAUUGUGUUCCAAAAAAAACUAUUAAAAAAUAAAAACAAGGAAGUAGUCCUCUAUUUAUUUAUGCAUUUUCUAGCUGGUUGUUAAGGGAAAAAAAAAAGAAAAUUCAAAGAGCCCAUCUAAAUUGUAGAAUAUUAUAUGGUCGGAGGUCAAUAGUCAAUGGGCUCUUUUCCAUGCUACUACUGCUUGCCUACUUUGCAUCAUAUUUCACGAAAAUAUUUAUGAAUGUUUUUUUUUUUAGUUAAGAUUAUGGUUGCGAUUGGAUAUAAUGUAUAAAAUUCAUUAAUAAAACCUAAUUUUUCUUGUUUUUUGUAGUUUUUUUGACGAGCUUCAUGUACAAACCUCAACCUCAAUUACAAAAACAAACAGACUCGCGUGUGACAGGUUAAAUAUGCUUGCGGCUAGAUUAAGAAGUGUUUGAGAACGUUGGUGACCGCGUGUUCUAAAAUUUUUUGAAUAUUAUUUUUGUUAAGAUUUAAUUUGUUUUAUGUUUUUUUAAUUAUUUUAAUGUGUUAAUAUUAAAAAUAAAUUUUAAAAAAUAAAAAAUAUUAUUUAAAUACAUUUACAAAUAAAAAAUAUUUUACAAAACAAUUAUUAUCAUAAUAUCAAACAGAAACUAAAUAAAAAUAUCGGUUUUACAGGCUUCUAUUUCUAAAUCAAGUUUUCAAAUACAUUGCAUGAGCCAUUUUCAAAGUUUAUUGUCUUUUUGCCAACACCAAAAUCAUAUUGUUAUUAUUAGAUUCAUAAUAAUUGUUAUUAUUAUAUAGAUAUGAGGGAAUGUAUUAAAUGAUACAAUCAACUAUUAUAUUUAGAUUCACUUGUUAAUUAUAUGGAUUUAUUUUAUAUUUUUUCUUAUUAUAUUUCUAUAUAAAUUUUACAAAAUACUGCCUGUAUUCAUUUCUAUUAAUUUAUAAAGUUUUUAUUUUUCUACGUAUACACCUCAUCGUAUUUCUUUGUCCCUUUUUUUUUUUUUUUUUAUUAUAAAAGGAGGAGGCAUCACGGUAGUUUAUUGGUCUAUGCAAAACGUGGUAAACACGAGACGAUACCAUUGACUGGUCUAUGUCAUUAGAUCAAAGCAAGGAAACAUUUCAGGUCAAGGAGACUCUUUUUUUGUUCUUAAAAUACACCCUCCUAUCAUUUAUCACUAUCCUUUUCUGAUCAAAUAAUACGAAAAAAAAAAAAAUACCAUAAGUAUUUAUCUAUUCAUUUCCCUCUGAAGAAUCUUCUAACGAUUCUCUUUCAUCCUUUUAUUUUGUUUUUUCUCUAAAUUCUCAUUUUAACUAUGUUCAAUAGAAAUUUAAACAUGGUCAACUGUUCAAAUCAUAUAUAUAUUUUUUUUAAAGUAAAUUAUGGUAAGGCAUUGUUAUUAUUAUUAUUAUUAACUUUAAAGGGUUGGUCUAGCAAAUAUCAGAUAGGGCUUGAGAGUUUUCUUCUUUCAGAUCUCAAGUUCAAAUUCUCUCGCAACCAAAAACUAUUGGGCCUGUCAUAACCCAAUUUUGGGUUAUUCUCCAAAAUUCACUUUUAAAAAAAAUAAAAAUAAAAAAAUAGAAUAAAGGCUGGUACUGUGGAGAAAGCCAAUAAAAAAAGACUGCAAAAAUAGACAAAAAUCGAAGGUCAAAUUAAAUGCAUAUUCGAAGGUCAAAUUAAAUGAUUAUUGGAUGAAUUUGCAUAAAAAUUAAGUCCAAUGACAUAAUUAAAUUUUUGAUGGGCCAAUUUGAUUUAAUCUUGGGCCAAAUUAAAUUUUAAUUAUGUUUAAGAAUUAAUUUAGGUCCAAUUGAAGGAUUUAAUUAAGUGCAAGGACUUAAUUAUACUUUAAAUGGGUCAAAUUAAUUUGGGGGCUUAAUUGGUGAAAAAUUAAGUUUGGCAGCCUAAUUUGGACUUAAUUGAAAAGAUUGAAAUUUUAAGACCAAAUUUAAUUUUUACCAAGUGAAUUGAACAUAAAAAUUGAGGGACCAAUUUGGAAGCUAGAAAAUUUUUUUGCCUAUAAAUAGCACCUUUUAACUCAAAGUUAAGGGAGUUCAUUUUGUAAUUUUAGGAGGAAAGAGAGAACCCUAAAAAACUAAACUUUUCUUCUUCCCUACUGAAGGCAGACGCCAGGGAGAACCCCCCCCCUUUUGGGAAAUUUUUUCCUUCUUCUCCGAUCACAGCUGCCAGCUCCCCUUUUGAUUUAUUUUUCCUUCUCCCUCAGCCGGUUCUCUUGAACCGUGGCCGCCGUCCCUCUCUUUUCUCAAGCAACAAGAACCGGCCGUCCCCCUCACUUCUUUUUAUUCUUGGUCCAGUAACCAGUCAAGUCUUCCUCUUCUUUUGCCCGAAACCAGCGACGACACCUACUGCUCCAGCCCCAGCAACCGACCAACCCUCAGUCGACCAAGUAUUCCCUCUGCAAAAGAGAACCAGACCAUACCCCAUCGCCUCUGCCUCUUUGCUCAACAGCUGUAGCCACCUCAACAUCAACGCCGUUCCUCUACCUCUCCGUCCCCAGCUAGAAUUUCUUCACCUUCAGCCCACAGACCAGCGGCUAGGCCACCAUCACCGAACAACCCUAUCUCCACCGAUCAGAGAACGGGCAGAGCCGUUCUCCAUUUCCGCAGACCCACGGUCUCCUUCGGACAUCAGGUCUUUCCUUCAACAGCCUCGUCUCCGCCGGCCAACAACAGUUUUUCUUCCUCCAGCAGCGCCGCCCGAUCUGGCACCCGAAGCAGAGGAGAAGAAGAUGAAACCUAGCCGCCACCAACAGGGUUGAAGGCCAUCCUCACCAGAAAUCAAACAGACCCGAAACGGGCAGAAGAAAAAAUUCAAGCGAUACAAACAACGAGACAUAAAUCGCCAGCCGAUGCGCGCGUGGAUUUUUCGACGUGCGACAGGGCCCACAGGCUGCAGAGUGCAAAAUACCCUAUGUAAAGUCUGGUUUGCUAAAGUUAACGCAGAAUACCUUGUAUUUGUUUUUUUUAAAAACUACUACUACUACUACUACUACUAUUAUUAUUGAGGCCGUAUUAAAUUAUUCCGUAAUUUUAUAAAAUCUCAAAUUAAUUAUCUAAAAUUUUUAUUGCGACACACAAAUUGUUUGUUGCAACAACACACAAUUUGUGUGAGGAUUUAUUUUAGAUUCCUAGUUGUUUUUUUUGUAGAUGAAUGUUUUUUUUUUGUUAAGAUCAAACAAAAAAAGAAGGCUAGAAUUCUCAAUGAUCUAUUUAUUAUGAGUUCUUAGUGCUAACCUAAAUACAAAGAAAGUAUAUACAUGUUAAACUGAAAAUACUAUUCUACCUUUAAUAAAUAAGACUACAUAAAUAUUAUUUAACAUCUCCCCUCAAACUCACGAUGCGGCAGUUACAAGCAUCGAGAGUUUGCUAACUAGAAAACAAAAACGAGAGAUGGAAUGCGCCUUGGUAAAGAAACAUGCAAUCUACAAGGAAAAAGGAACAAAAGGCAAAGUAAUGGUGCCAUGCCUGAGAUGAUGAUAAGAUGACAAUCGAUCUCAAUGUGCUUAGUUCGCUCAUGAAAAAUUGAGUUGUGAGCAAUUUGAAUAGAACUCUGGUUGUCACAAUGCAUAAGAGUAGGAUGAGAAAAGGAAACUCCCAUAUUAGCAACUAACCAAUGUAACCAAAUAAUCUUUUUGGUAGUAGAUGUCAUGGAACGAUAUUAUGCUUUGGUGGAUGAUUGAGAAAUAAUAAAUUAUUUCUUGCUCUUCCAAGAAAUAAGGGAAUCACCUAAAAAGAUACAGAACCCGGUAACAGACUUGCGAUCUAUGAGAUCACUACCAUGAUCAGUGUUGUAACCCAUUUUUGGGUCCCCACAAAAAUAAUAAAUCAAUUUAAAAAAAAAAAAAAAAAAAACAAUUCGGCUGGUUACUGUUCAUCUUCUUCCCCGAAAAAACUGCCCGAGUGGCUGCUUUCCAGGCGCAUUUUCCAGCUCGUGUGGCCCCCAAAUCCGACAAACCGUGCACCAACAUGUCCACCUAAAACCGCUCUAUCCCCUAGCAUUGUCCGCUAGAGCCUAUAAACACCAAAACAGCUUCGUUGAGUGGCUCAAAGUGGCCACCUCGGGCAGUUCACAGCCUGGAGCUGCCAAAUUUGGCAGCUCGAGGUGCACACUUGGGAGCCAACGGUUGAGAUGCUUCCCAACAGAAUCAAGGGCUGAAAUUUUUCCCCAACGUAGACAAGAUUGCCCUCUUCCACAGCCUAUAAAUAGAGUCGGAUUUGAUGAUCUGAGGGUUGAGAAAUUCAGGUCCAAAGUCAGCCAAAAACCAGCAUUUUCGCCCAAUUUCUGCAGAUUUUUCUUCUUCUUCUUUCUUCCUCUGCAACAGGAAACCGACGCCGUCUUCCUCCAACUCCACCGCUGCAACCACCGGCUGAACCACCUCAUCGCAGCAGCCACAACCUCUUCGGCCAAGUGAGCCCCUCUUCCUUUCCUCCUCCUUCCUUUUCCUUUCCUCCUUUUUUUCUUCUCUCUUCCUCCCUGUCUACUGUUCACUGCAUGAACAGUAGGCGUGAAAUAUAAUUCACGUCCUACUGUUCACGCAGGACGUGAAUUAUAUAUAUAUAUGUGUGUGUGUAUUAUUAUUUAUAUAUUAUAAUAUAUUAAUUAUAUAUGUAUAUAUAUAUAUGUAUUUUUCUUUAAAAAAUAUAUUUUGAAAAAUCUUAAAAAAUAUUGUUGAUUUUUCUGCAUGUUUUUGUCAAAGUGGUUUAAUGUUGGUUUGUAUUUUUAUACCGUAAAGAUACAAAACCAGUGUUAAAAAUACCCGGUUUUCGUCAAAAUAUCAAAGAUUUUCAGAAUAAAAAAUGUUUUUGCUUUCAAAAAAAUUCUAAAAAGUCCCUAAAAAUGUUGUUGAUUUUUCUGCAUAUUUUUAUCAAAGUGGAUUAAUAUUGGGUUGUAUUUUUAUACCGUAAACAUCAAAAAAUAAAUAUUUUCCAAAAAAGGGUUUUGUUUUCAUGCAUACGGCCUAGUCUCUCCAAUAUAUAUAUAUAAAUAUUAUAACAUCAUAUUUUCACACAACAAAGAAAAUUUUCAAAACAAUAUAUGUAUUAGCAUGCAUUUUGGCUUUAAUAACCAGUUUAUUUAAGCCAUGAGAACUAGGCCAAUAUUUCAAAAAUUCAAAAAAUCUUUUUUUUGUUUUCUUUUAGUAUUUGGGAUUACGAAUUUAUACGUAAAACGUAUUCCUAAAUAUUAUUAAUGAAAUUUUGGUAUGGACGUUAGAACGGUUAGGAUUUUACCCGAUAAGAUAAAGCCUUUCUUACCGAGGAGGAUUUUUCUUGAACCAUAGACAGACCAACAACUAGGAAAACACGAAAAUACCUUAGUUUUUAUCAGACAAUAAAACAAUGCAGCUUACCUUAGGUAGGGCGUAUUUGGGGUGCUAAUACCUUCCCUUUACGCAACCAGUCCCCGUACCCGAUCUCUGAGACCAGUUAGGGUUCCUAGUGACCAAAAUACUAGGUGGCGACUCCCAUUCCAUUUUCUACCAAUAAAAGACAAUAUUUUUGUUGUAUCCCCAUAGAUAUAGAUAGAUUUACAUUAUAGAUUAAGAAAAUGGAAAAACUAUGUUAUUUUCGCCGCGACGCCGCACACGUGCGACAGAAUGGCGACUCCACUGGGGACCUUGUAGACUAAGCUUUGUUUUUGUCUGAUUUGUUUGUGUUUUCGUGUGUUUAUUGUUAAUAUGCCUUUCCAAUUUAUUUACAUAUUAGUUUUUUAUUUUACGCGUAUUAUUUAUGCAUUGUAUAAAAUUGUCUCAUGCAUCACUUGCUUUUAUUUUUGAGAAGCACACACAAGCCUUAAGUUAAGUGGGCAAUUAGCGAUUUACCCUAAGACUAUUGGUCAGGGUUUAAAUGCGUGAAACACCCAACUCAUAUCUGAGUGCCUGCUUGGUAAUGGCGGACAUACGUGUCUUAGCUAUUCCUUGCAACGCCCCCAUACUGUCUUUACGAAGAACGUCACUGGGCAGAUAUGAGAACCUUCAAGACUAGAUAGAAAAAACUACCCACUCUCACUUGAUAAAUAGAGCUUGUCCUUAGGUUAUGUAUCUUUUUGCAAUAUUAUACUCAUCGCGCAUCACUUAUGCAUCACAUUUUCAUCACACAUUUUAUUUUUUAAAUUAUCAUAUGCAUUCCAGAUCGUGAAACAUAGGUCCCACACCCAGAGUCCAUCAAACCCGGUCCAGAUCAAGAAUGGAAAACGAAGAAAAAGAGCUCACUUAGAGUCGCACUACCAGACCGAGUUGGAAUCUGUGAAAAAUGAAGUUUCUCGACUGACCAAUCUGCUUGAGCAACUUUUAAGAGCCAAGAACGGGGAGGGAACAUCUACCCAACCACCUAUAGGAGCACCGUCAGUUCAUGUCCCUGGGAUAUCUCAGAACUUGGGGGCAGAUUCAGUGACGGGGCAGCACUUUGCGCCUACCAUUCCCAUUCAGCCCCCUCAAGCUCACAUCACUAUAGAUGGGCCUUCCGAUAAUAGGUCCACUGGAUUUAUGAACGAUGACAAGAUAUCAGCCUUGGAAGAAAGGUUAAGAGCAGUCGAGGGAAAUGACUGGUUUGACCCCAUGCGAGCGUCUGAAAUAUGCUUGGUACCAAACAUCACGGUACCAAAAGAUUUUAGGAUACCGGAGUUUACAAAGUACACUGGGUUGGAAUGCCCAAACACUCACCUUCGAUCUUAUUGCAAUAAAAUGGCUGAGGUGAUUCAUGACGAUAAGUUACUGAUCUACUUUUUCCAAGACAGUCUAUCGGGGUCGGCGCUAAGUUGGUACAUGAGGCUGGAUAAUGCCAAGAUCAAGAAAUGGAAGGAUUUAGUUGAGGCUUUCCUUAAGCAAUACAAGUUCAAUUUGGAAAUUGCUCCAGAUCGAACGAGCCUUAUGUCAAUGGAAAAGAGAAGCCAAGAAUCAGUAAGGGCUUAUGCGCAAAGAUGGAGGGACGAGGCCAUGCAUGUGCAACCCCCUUUGAUAGAAACGGAGAUGGUGACUUUGUUCGCCAAUACAUUCAAGGCACCCUACUAUGAGCAUUUAAUGGGUAGCUCAUCUCAACAUUUCUAUGAUGUGUACGCAUAGCGGAAAGAAUAGAGCAAGGGAUUAAAGCUGGACGCAUAAUUGAGCCAUUGGAGACAAAGGGUUUUUUCGGAAGAAAAUGAAAGGUCCCGUUAACAACUUCGAAGGUGGGUCCAAUGACAAGAUAACGAUUCAUAUAACCCACAAAUACCUACCUCUCAUGUGGCCCACAUAAACUUUAACAAACCUUUUUCCCCUAAUCGAGCAAAUGGCCAGUCAAACACCCAAAACAACCAAAGACCAAACACAAGAUACAUUUCAGAACAACUACCGCCAUUACCCAUGCCUCUGAAGGACAUAUAUGCCAAACUACUGAGCAUUGGACAAAUAGCUCCUAUCCCUACAUUACCACUACAGCCACCAUUCCCCAUCUGGUAUAAGCCCGAGUUGACUUGCGAGUACCAUGCUGGUAUUCCCGGGCAUUGUCUUGAAACGUGCUACGGUUUCAAGAACAAGUUGUUGAAGCUCAUCAAGAUAGGAUGGGUGUCAUUUGAAGACACACCCAAUAUCAGUUCAAAUCCAUUGCCUGGUCAUGACAAAAGUGAUAGGGGAUAAAGGUUGGAAAACCUUGGUCAAGAAUCGUCAAUAAUGAAGAAGGCGAGAUCGAAGGAGAAGACAAGGAAACACAAGUGGGGAAGGAAGAUGAAGCAUUGCCUCGGUUGACUUUCCACACACUAGAAGAAGUUUCAGAACGGGUUGACCCAAGAACUUCUCGUAGUUUUCAAAAUGUAAAACAACUUUAUUUGCCUUAGCAUGUUUUUGUCAUUUGCUUUUGUUGCUUUUAUUUUCUCUAGUGGGCAAUCAGGGCUCAUGAUGUCAGCCAGAUUUUGUGUUUGUCUUUGAGCCUACCUUUUCUUUAAAUAAAUGAUGAGAUUAUGCACUUUUUGAACAAGUUUGAGUGGUUACAAAUAAAGUAUCAUAAAAGGUUUAAUAUGAAAUUUAAGAAAAGCUACCCUUGAAAUACAACCUCACCUCUGGAUAACAUAAUGAAUUGAUACAUCACCUGUAAAUUUUCUUUCAAGAUAAAAAUAGAGUUUAUCAACCUAUAACAAUGUGCAUUUUUUAAAAAAAAUUAUUGUCUUUCACUCUCUAAAGUUUUUUGUUGGUGGUGGAGUCGAAUGAAUUUCUUCUCUAUAUAAAAGCCCAGACUAGGAUCGCACCCCUACACUGGGGGCAAGACGAGAUGUUUUAUGAAAAGUUUUACGAAAGCCUAUAGAUUUGAAAACCAAGCUAAAGCAUUUGACAAAAGCAUGACAAAGAGGCAAAUACAAGUCAUACAUUUUGAGAAAAGGACUACUUGAAGAAAGUCAAAGACUUCUUCUCCAAGAAUAUGAUAGGCAACACGAAGAUAAAUCCAGCAUACGACUUCAAAAGCAAGUUCAUGUUAAGAGGGAGUCUCAUGAACUAGAAGAAGAGGGGACCUAUGUUUCAAAACCAGGUAUAAAUGCAUGCAUUGCAUCUAAUCAUAAAUCAUUGCAUAUAUGUUUUUUUUGGAUCGUUACAGGAGGAGAUCUUAGCGCAUUCCAACAAGAUUAUGGACGAAGAAAGAAUCAUUGAGUUGAUUCUAGAACAACAAGAAGAGAAGAUAAUGGUUUUCAAACCCUGCCAGCAGGAAGAACGACAUCGAUAGCAUUCGGUAAAAAGGAAUCGCCAAAUGGGAUUCCAAGUUGUUGAGAUCGACAGAAGGGAUCUCGUAUUUCGAUGGAGGUCGCCAGAAGGGACCUCAAAUUUCAGCUUUUGUAUAAAAGGAAUCACCAGAUGGGAUUCCAAGUUGUUUGAGAUCGCCAGAAGGGGUCUCGUUUUCGAUAUUCAUCAAUGGAGGUCGCCAGAAGGGACCUCAAAUUUCAGCUUUGGUAUAAAAGGAAUCGCCAUAUGGGAUUCCAAGUUGUUUGGCUAAAGGAGAUCGCCAGAAGGGAUCUCAUAUUUCGAUGAAGGUCGCAGAAGGGACCUAAUAUUUCAGCUUUGAAUAAAAGGAAUGCCAGAUGGGAUUCCAAGUUAUUUGAGAUCGCCAGAAGGGAUCUCGUACUUCGACAUUCAUCAAGGAAGGUCCAAAAGGGACCUCAUAUUGAAACCAUUUCUUAGAAAAGCAUGGAGUUUACUAAGAAUUCUCCCCCCUGGGUAGGUCACCCAUACAAUGAGACCAUUAUUUUUUCUUGGGUAGGUCACCCAUACAAUGAGACCAUCAUUUUUUUCUUGGAUAGGUCACCCAUACAAUGAGACCAUCAUUAUUUUUCUGGGUAGGUCACCCAUACAAUGAGACCAUUAUUUUUCCUGGGUAGGUCACCCAUACAAUGAGACCAUUAUUUUUCCUGGGUAGGUCACCCAUACAAUGAGACCAUCAUUUUUCCUGGGUAGGUCACCCAUACAAUGAGACCAUCAUUUUUCUUGGGUAGGUCACCCAUACAAUGAGACCAUCAUUUUUCUGGGUAGGUCACCCAUACAAUGAGACCAUUAUUUUUCUUUUUUUACCUGGGUAGGUCACCCAUAACAAUGAGGCCAUUCUUCCCUUUGGGUAGGUCACCCAUAAUAAUGAGACCACUCUUUCCCUUUUCCACUCGGGCAGGUCACCCAUCAUAAUGAGACCACACACGCGUUUUUGUAUUUGGUUAUGGGUAAAGGAUUCGCCAGAUGAGAUUCCAAGUUGAUUGAGAUCGCCAGAAGGGAUAUCGCAUUUCGAUAUUGGUCAAAGGAGGUCGCCAGAAGGGACUUCAUAUUUUAGACUUGGUUAAGAAGAAUCGCCAGAUGGGAUUCCAAGUUUUUGGGGUUAAAAGAGAUCGCUAGGAGGGAUCUCAAGAUGACUAAAUUUUGAUCAUAGUUGUUUUUGGGCCGAAGAGGAUUGCUGUAAAGACAAAGUUUCAGGUUGAUCCAGCUUCGAUCAAGCUUCGACCAUAUCAGUUUCGGGAGUUCAGUUUUGGUUUAUCUUUAUAAAACUUACUGCGCAGAACCCCUGCUCCGUAAGCAUUAUAAAGAGGGGGCAUCUGUUGUAACCCAUUUUUGGGUCCCCACAAAAAUAAUAAAUCAAUUUAAAAAAAAAAAAAAAAAUUCGGCUGGUUACUGUUCAUCUUCUUCCCCGAAAAAACUGCCCGAGUGGCUGCUUUCCAGGCGCAUUUUCCAGCUCGUGUGGCCCCCAAAUCCGACAAACCGUGCACCAACAUGUCCACCUAAAACCCCUCUAUCCCCUAGCAUUGUCCGCUCGAGCCUAUAAACACCAAAACAGCUCCGUUGAGUGGCUCAAAGUGGCCACCUCGGGCAGUUCACAGCCUGGAGCUGCCAAAUUUGGCAGCUCGAGGUGCACACUUUGAGCCAACGGUUGAGAUGCUUCCCAACUGAAUCAAGGGCUGAAAUUUUUCCCCAACGUAGACAAGAUUGCCCUCUUCCACAGCCUAUAAAUAGAGUCGGAUUUGAUGAUCUGAGGGUUGAAAAAUUCAGGUCCAAAGUCAGCCAAAAACCAGCAUUUUCGCCCAAUUUCUGCAGAUUUUUCUUCUUCUUCUUUCUUCCUCUGCAACAGGAAACCGACGCCGUCUUCCUCCAACUCCACCGCUGCAACCACCGGCUGAACCACCUCAUCGCAGCAGCCACAACCUCUUCGGCCAAGUGAGCCCCUCUUCCUUUCCUCCUCCUUCCUUUUCCUUUCCUCCUUUUUCUUCUUCUUCUUCCUCCCUGUCUACUGUUCACUGCAUGAACAAUAGACGUGAAAUAUAAUUCACGUCCUACUGUUCACGCAGGACGUGAAUUAUAUAUAUAUAUGUGUGUGUGUGUAUUAUUAUAUUAUAUAUUAUAAUAUAUUAUAUUAUAUAUGUAUAUAUAUAUAUAUGUAUAUUUUAUCUUUAAAAAAUAUAUUUUGAAAAAUCUUAAAAAAUAUUGUUGAUUUUUCUGCAUGUUUUUGUCAAAGUGGUUUAAUGUUGGUUUGUAUUUUUAUACCGUAAAGAUACAAAACCAGUGUUAAAAAUACCCGGUUUUCGUCAAAAUAUCAAAGAUUUUCAGAAUAAAAAAUGUUUUUGCUUUCAAAAAAAUUCUAAAAAGUCCCUAAAAAUGUUGUUGAUUUUUCUGCAUAUUUUUAUCAAAGUGGAUUAAUAUUGGGUUGUAUUUUUAUACCGUAAGAAUACAAACCCAGUAUUAAAAUACCCGAUUUUUGUUAAAACAUCAAAAAAUAAAUAUUUUCCAAAAAAGGGUUUUGUUUUCAUGCAUACGGCCUAGUCUCUCCAAUAUAUAUAUAUGUAUUAGCAUGCAUUUUGGCUUUAAUAACCAGUUUAUUUAAGCCAUGAGAACUAGGCCAAUAUUUCAAAAAUUCAAAAAAUCUUUUUUUUGUUUUCUUUUAGUAUUUGGGAUUACGAAUUUAUACGUAAAACGUAUUCCUAAAUAUUAUUAAUGAAAUUUUGGUAUGGACGUUAGAACGGUUAGGAUUUUACCCGAUAAGAUAAAGCCUUUCUUACCGAGGAGGAUUUUUCUUGAACCAUAGACAGACCAACAACUAGGAAAACACGAAAAUACCUUAGUUUUUAUCAGACAAUAAAACAAUGCAGCUUACCUUAGGUAGGGCGUAUUUGGGGUGCUAAAACCUUCCCUUUACGCAACCAGUCCCCGUACCCGAUCUCUGAGACCAGUUAGGGUUCCUAGUGACCAAAAUACUAGGUGGCGACUCCCAUUCCAUUUUCUACCAAUAAAAGACAAUAUUUUUGUUGUAUCCCCAUAGAUAUAGAUAGAUUUACAUUAUAGAUUAAGAAAAUGGAAAAACUAUGUUAUUUUCGCCGCGACGCCGCACACGUGCGACAAUCAGCAUCAGAGUAUGCAUGCAACUCCAAGAAAAAGAUGAAUGAAAGUAAAAGACUCUGAAAAACUGUACCCCGAAGAUAUCGCAAAAUACGAAGAACAGUUGCCUAGUGAACAGUAAUAAGAGAAGCAAUGAACUGACUAACAACAUGAACAAUAUAUGCAAUAUCUAGACGAGUAAUGGUGAGAUAUACCAAGCUCCCAACAAUAGUACAGUAUAAAGUAAGAUCUAUCAAAGAUAAACCAUCAGAAGAAGAGUACUUUACGUUAACCUCAAUAGGAGUAUCAACAGUCUUCUUAUCAGUAAGUCUAGCCUGCUCAAUAAUAUCUGCAACAUAUUUUGAUAGAGAAAGAAAAUAACCUCUAGGUGAGUAUGUUACCUCAAUACCCAGAAAAUAUCGAAGAUAACCCAAAUCCUUCAUUUCAAAUCAUCUAGCCAAUUCUGUCUUCAAAACUGAAAUACCAUCAGUGUCAUCACCAGUAUUAAUCAUGUCAUCAACAUAUAAAGAUAGAAUGAUACGACCUACAUCAUUCCACUUAAUAAAAAGAGCAUAAUCAUGACUACUAAAAACAAAGCCAAGUGACGAGAUCACAAUAGAGAAUUUCUCAAACCAAGCACGGGGUGCUUGUUUGAGACCAUAUAAUGCUUUCUUAAGCUUACAAACAUAUCCAGAGUCAUGUGAAAUACCAGGAGGGGGUGCCAUAUAAACUUUUUUGAAGAUCUCCAUUCAAGAAGGCAUUUUUAACAUCAAGUUGAGAAAUAUGCCAUUGACGAAUCGAAGCUACGCAAUAAGAGUACGAAUAGUAGUCAUUUUUGCAACCGGAGCAAAUGUCUCCUCAUAGUCCAUACCAUACUGUUGAGAGUAUCCUUUGGCAACCAACCUAGCUUUAUAUCGCUCAAUAGACCCAUCAGAAUUAGUCUUGAUCUUAUACACCCAACGACAACCAACAACACUCUUACCAGGAGGUAGAGGAACCAGAUCCCAAGUAUCUGUCUUAUGCAAGCAGAAAGUUCCUCAUCCAUAGCUUGCUGCCAAAGCGGAUCAAGAAUUGCCUCUUUAUAGGAAGAGGGCUCAAAAGACAAUGAAUAGAGGCUAAAAAGGAAGUAAAUGAUGAAGAAUAACAAGAAUAAGCAAAAUCUGGUAGUUUUGUGGACUUACGAAUACGGAUGGACUGACGUGGAGGUGGAUCCACAAUCUCAGAUGAAGCUUGAGGGGCUGUAGAUGAGAAUGGAGCUUCAGGUGUAGAGAGUAAAGUACCAGUACCUGCAGAGUUAUGAGUACAAAUUGAUCGAACAUGGGGAGAGCUAUCAUUACCAGAAUCCUCAGAAAAAUGGAUCUAUACUAAUAAGAUCAGAUUUAGUCAGGUUAUGAGUAGUGGAUGGAAUAAAAAGAAAGGUAUAUGCUCAAGGAAGACAACAUGACGAGACACAUAAAGUUUCUGAGUUAUUGGAUCAAAACAACGAUAACCCUUUUUACCUUCACCAUAGCCCAAAAAGACACAAAUAGCGGAUCGAGAGGAUAGCUUACUUCGUUCUACAUGAGGACGAAGAACGAAACAAGUACAACCAAAGACUCUAAAUGAGGAAUAAUCAGGGACAUACCCAUAUAACUUUUCAAAAGGAGAUAGACCCGAACUAUGAGAAGAUGGAAUUGUAUUAAUCAAGCUUACAGCAGUAAGAACAGCUUCUCCCAAAACUCACUAGGAAAAAAGCAGACAACAAGAGAGAACGAGCAGUUUCGACAAUGUGCCUAUGUUUUCUUUCAGCAACACCAUUUUGCUCAGGAGUAUCUGUACAUGAAGUUUGGUGGAUGGUUCCAUCUAGGGCAAGCAAUUAAAAUUUAUUAGAAGUGUAUUCCCCACCAAAUCACACCUAAAGCAUUUGAUCACAGAGAAUAUUGAGUUUUGAUAAGAGCUCAAAAAGCUGCAUAUAUCUCAAAUAAUUCAGAACAAUGUUUCAUUAAAUAAACCCAAUAAUAACGAGUAUGAUCAUCAAUAAAAGAGAUAUAAUAUCGAGACCCUUCUUUUAUGGCAAUAGGAGAAGGUCCCCAUACAUCAUAAUGAAUCAAGUCAAAUGGUGAAGAAGAAACAUAAAUACUUCGAUUAAAAGGUAAAGCGGAAAAUUUUGCCAAUUUACAUCCACUACAAUCAGAAAUGUCACAAGUUUUUAAAUUUUCUAAAGCUCUUAUGGAUGUCAAAAAUCUCAAACGAGAAGAUGAGACAUGUCCUAGACAAGAAUGCGAUAAAUAAAAAUUAGAAGAUGAAGGACUCAAACAAAAAAGAAAACAAAUCAACAGUAUUAGUAGCAACAGCGAGAACUGACACUUUCAACUCAUCCAAAAUAUAUAGUCCAUUCUCCAAACGGCUUAUCCCAAUCAGCUUCUAAGACUGCAGAUCCUGUACAUAACAAAAAGAAGAGGAAAAAAUGAUUAAAUAAUCACCAGAAUCACAUCAUUGACCAAUAUAAACAAGAUUUAAUUUGACGUUCAGAAUAAGAUAGACAUUAGAAAGAGACAAAUAAGGUGUGACAACAGAACUAACACUUGCUAAGGGCAUGAGAGUACCAUCAGCAGUCAUAACAUGAAUGAAGGGCGAAGCGGAAACAUAGGUAAAAGAUGAAGAAUUUGAAGACAUAUGAUAUGAAGCAUCAUAAUCCAAAACCUAGUUAGAAUGUGACAUACUUGAGGAACUAUGAGGCAAUUGACUGAUGAAAGAAGCGGGCAUUGCUUGUGGCUGCAAUGAGAGAAACUUCUGAAAUUGCUCAGCCAAAGUACUAAGAUCAGUUAUAGAGCCCGGGGAAGCUAUUGUUGCGGUAUUGUGGUGUGGUGUGGUGAUUUAUAACCCUGAGGUGGUCUAUGAGCAUUAGAUUGUAACUGGCUACCAGGCUUCCAAGUUUGCGUAUGCUGUCUUAACUUAGGACAUUAGGCCUUCUAAUGACCUUUCUGCUUAUGGAAACUGCACUCGUCGAAGCCAAUCCUUGUGUAAGGCUUAUGUUGGUGAUUGGAGAAUUGCUUAUAGGGUACUGUUAGUAUAGAAGGAGUCGAAGUAGAUAGAAUGCCCUUUUCAGAACACGACAGAAGACGUAUUUUUUCAUCCAAUAACUCACUGACAACCAAGUCAACAAAAGGCAGUGGAGAGAGAUGCAAUAUUGAACCUCUAAGUCCUUCGAAAUCACUGCGAAGUGCUUUUAAAAUUGUACCAAUCAUUGUUGCUCUCUACGUUUAAUAUAAGCACCGCAUGCCUUUAAUUCCACUGAUUUUGUAAGAGCCAACUAACCCAAAGAUCUGUCAUGGUAGAAUAUAACUCCUGAAUACUCAUAUUCUUCUGGUGAAGAGCUCGUAUGUCAUUCUCUAACUGAUACUGCUUUGUAAAAUUUGAUUAUGUGAAUAACCUUUGCAGAUGAUCCCAAACCUCUUUUGCUGUCUCAUACUUUGCCAACUACGUACCUAUGGAAUGCUCAACAGAGUUGUUGAUCCAAGUAAUGAUCUUUGCAUCGUUUACUUCCCAUGCAUCUAUCAAAGUUGCAUCCCCUUCCCUAGUAUGUUUAGGUACCAUAUAGGUUCCACUAACAUAUCCUCACAUCUCCCUUAAGAAAAUUACUCAUUACAUAACUCCAAUACGAAUAGUUUUUCCCAUCCAACAUCACACUCACAAACUGAAGCGAAUCAUCUCUUUCAAUGGCCAUAAUCAUCAAUAAUAGAUAACCAGAAUGCAAAAGUAGUGGAAAACAAAAUACUAAAUUGCAGAAACUGAAUAGAGAUUGCAGAAACUAAACAAAUAUCUUCUUGAAAAUAUACAAUUAUGCCAAAACACAAAAUAAAUUUGCAGAAACUGAAUGCAAAUAUCAAAUUGCAGAAACUAAAGGGAAGAUGAAAUACCAAAAUAAUUGCAAAAACUAAAUGCAAAUAUCAAAUUGUAGAAGUUGAAGGGAAGGCAAAAUACCAAAUUUUGCAAAAGCAGAAGACAAAAUAUCACUCCAAAAAAUUUGUUGUGUUCGAGAUUAAGCCUCGUUUCAUAAAACCAGCUCUGAUACUAUGUUAAAAUAAUUAAGAUCAAACAUAAAAAUAAGGCUAGAAUUCUCAAAGAUCUGUUUAUUAUGAGUUCUUAGUGUUAACCUAAAUACAAAGAAAGUAUAUAUAGGUUAAACUGAAAAUAAUACUAUACUCUUAAUAAAUAAGACUAUAUAAAUAUUAUUUAAUAUUUUUCACCUAUUUAAACAUCUUAUAAAUUUUAUAAAGAGGUAGUCAUUAUAUAUUUUAUUAAAAAAACUGUGAAUUUAUAAUUGACAUCUACCACUCUCUUCUAUAAUUAAAUAUUUGUCUAUCAUUAAAUAUUUUAUGUUUUUCUUGUAAUUUUUAUAUUGUCGCUUUCCUCCUUAGCUUCCAUCAGAACUCUUAGCUUCCAUCUCCGUUAGAAACCAGACACAUUUUAUCUUUCUACGGUACAUGAUUUGUACGUCGGGAACUGGUUUGCUGGAAAGCAAUACAGUUAUGCUUUUGAGAUUGUGGAUAGUUAGGAUAAUCCUCUAUUUUGGGACAUGUUUUUGUUUUUUAAAAACCUUUUAAUUAGCACUUAACAAUUUUUUUUUAAAAUCAUUUUUCCAAGCAAAUUAAGUAGGAAACCUUGUUGAAAUUGUUAGAUUAUUGGUCUUGAAAUAGAAAUGAGGUUAACCAGCAAAAUAGACACACGGAAAAAAAAUUCCUUUACAAUUUUGUUUUUGGAGAAAAUUAUUAUUUUUUAUAUUUAGAAUAUUUAUCACUCUAUACUUUGACUAUUUAUACCAUUUUUCUUGUUUUUGUUUUUAUUUUUUUACAAUAUAUUUUUUUAUUUGUAUUUUUUGAGAAAACAUUAUACAAAGACUAAAAAAUAAUAAUGUUUCACUAUAGUAAUUAUAAUAUUGUUAUAUUUUUCUACUAUAUUAAAAAUUAACUUGAAAUUAUUAUUUUUUUAUAUGUAAACAUCAUAUUUGAUUCAUAAUUAUAUUUUUUUAUUUGAUGUUAAAAAAAAUAUUAAUUAAAAUUUUUUUAUUCAACUUGUAGCAAGACAAGUUGAAUAAACAUAUUUACACUUAUUUUUUUAUAUUUAUUAACAUAAAUAAUUUUUAAUUUAUCUACUUAAAUACAUGUAUAGACUUUCUAAUUUAUCUUGACAAUGGUUAAAAUCAUGUUCAGACACUUUUAUUUUUUUAUUUUUUUAUGAGCAAGUAGUUUGCAUGUAAGUUUUAAAAUUAUCCUUAGAAAAAAAAAAAAACACACAUUCAAGAAGCAUCAUCAUGAAUGAUGUCACACAAUCCAAUAAGUUGAUGCUGCCAAUGGAAAUUUAUAUCGCUGUGGUUCUAGAAACCCAAAAAACUGUGGAAACGAGCCACUCCAACGCACGCCAGUGUAAAAUGGAGAGUCAAAAUAAAUAAAUAAAAGUAAUAUUUUGAAUUUUCUUCAUUUGUUUUUAAAAGUUAAAUAAAAUGCUAAAAUAUUAAUAAAAUAGGGCUAAUAAAAAAAUAAAUAAAUUAAAUAUAAUCAUGUAAAAAAAUAAUAUCAAAAUUAUUUUUUAAAAAAUAAAACAUUUAUUUAUUUCACUCUAAUACAAUUAAUUUUUUAAAUAAUUUUUUUAUUAGAAUAUAUAUAAUAAAAAACUAUACUUAUAUUAUUUAAAAUAUUAUUUUAUCAAUUUAUUUUUGUAAAAUAGCAUCUCCCGUUAAAAUGCUAUAAUAGACAUAACUUCUUCAUGUCAACGUGGAUGACCUGUGCCCCAUGCUGGUAGAAAAACGGAAAGGUAAAACGUCAUUUCACUUAAUGAUUCACGACUUUUGACUGACAGACAAUUCGUGACAAUUCUAUACAACUUAUUCAACUACCAUAUAUCGACGGGGCCUAAUUUGACGUGGUGUCUUUUUAUAUACGUUAACUAAUACUCAGAUUUAAGUAUAACUUACCAUUAUUAUUACAUGACGUACGGGCAGAACGCAAUAUGUAGUAGUGAAUGAGUUCCUUGGAAAUAGGUGGAGUCAUGUAUGGUUUCUUCAACUGAUAUUUGAAGUUAUUGACUUGGAUCUUGUUCUUUUUCUAUAUACAAUAUUUGCUGAGCAUUAAAUUUGAUAAGAUAUUAGACCCAACAUCUCUAAAUUUAGUUAUAUCCUAUGCUAAAUUACAUACAUAGCCUAAACAGUUAUGGGUCUAGCAAGAUGCUAGAUCCAACAUCUUUUGAGUUAAGCCAUGUGCUGAGGUCAAAUAUUUGUAGGUUUGACAAGGUGUCAAAUUCAAGUGCACGUGGAUCCAACACAACACUAAAUCUUUGGAUAAUCAUUUUUCUACACCCUUGGGUGUAUAAGAAUCCUCUAAAAACCGAUUAUAUUUUAAUUAACAUUAAUGUCAUGAUAAGGCUAUUCCUACCAACGUUAAAUGUUAUGUACGAAAUAAGGUAUAAAAGUCUUCUAUAGCUCUACUACUUGUUCAUCAAUAUUAAUGGCGUGUAAGGGUAAUUCUUAUCAAUAUUAAUGUUGUGUAAGAAGAUGUUUCUAUCAACAUUAAUGUUGAAGUAAAAUACUUUUUCCUUACUAAGAUAUUCAAGAGGAAAAGACUUUCAUCCUCUUAAACAAAAAGGCUCAAAGUACAAUGAACAUAAAUACUCGCCGAACCACCCGGGUAAAAGGAUUCACGAUCGUUAUUCUCUUAUCAUACAUUUUAAAAGAAUUUAUUGCACCAAAACUAAGAGUGAAUGUUCUUGUUCUUAGAGUUUAAUGUUCUUCUCUUCACAACCAUUACUAUAAAGUCACUAACUUAAGUAUCGGAGGGUCCCUAAAUUCAACAAAAAAGACUAUUUUGCAGGAACUAAGACUUCUACCACCAAUCAUCUGCUCUUCUUGUCCCUAGAAAUGGAAUAUUGACGUGAACGUAUGAUAAUCCAUUUUCUCAAUACUCAAACACUAUUACUGAGCAUAUUGGAUCCCGGGAGAUCAUCAAUUAGUGUCAUUUGUGGGAAACCAAUAAAAAAAAUAAUCAUAAACUACUUUUUUAGAGUUGGUUUUUGACGCCCCUAAUCGCUAUUAAUAACAGACAAUUAAGAAACCCCUGGGAUGUUACAUGUCAUAUAUCUCCAUGCAACAACUGAUACGUUUACUCUACCAUCUCUUUUAGAGUUUCAACAACUCAUUAAUAAAAUGCAAGCUCUUAUCCAAGUUGUUUUGGCAUCCCAGGGACAACGUCAAACCUCACCAUAUCAGCAAGCUCCAACACAUGAUGUAGCUUCUUCGUUACCAAUCUUUCAACCAUAAGCCUUCCUUUCUGCUAGGAGACAACUAUCCUAACUAGAAAAGCCAAGGCGAAAUAACAUGGAUAACUUUCCACUAUAAUGAUUCCCUAGCCCCUUAGGAAUCAUUCUUAUCGACAUGAAACUCUCCCAAUAAGCAAUCAAUCCAAAUGUAAUCCCUUUGUCCUUAUAAGAUAAAUGGAUCUUUUUUGUCUAGACGGGUCUUAGAUACCCAUAUCUCCAAGGAGUAUAUCUCUAUAAAGAUGACCUUAAACAAUUAUAAUGGUUUGGCAAUUCUUAGAGAGCAUGUCCAAAACAUGCGAAGCUACUGUGAGCUGGUCAUCCAAGAUGGUGAAACUUGUGCAAGAUCCUGCCACAACCUUUAGAGGGUCAGCUAAAGCAUAAUAUAACAAUAUAGAGCCAAACUUUACAACGAGUUUCAAUGAUCUCCGUGCAAAACUCGUGUCAAGGUUCAACACCAGCAUACCUGCCAAAAGAAGCUCCAUUAAACUCUUUGGUGUUACUCAGAUAUGAGGGGAGUCCACUUGAGCAUAUUUGAAAAGAUUCAAUGAAGAGAUGCUCCAAAUGGAAGAAUUAAUUCAGUUAAUGACCUUAGAAGCUUUGAUAAAUGAGGUAAGAGAAUGUUCCAUGUGGAAGGGUUUGUACGCCCUGCCAGACAAAAGCUUUAUGAAAGUAAAACAGGUUAUGAAGAAUCACAUCCGGGUAGAGAAAACUAAUAUAUUGUGACAUGGACCUCCUUGUUUCUAUUAAGAGGCUCAAGAUAAAAAGCCUUUCAAACAGAGUCGUUUUCUUAGUAGAGAGAAUAAUUCAAAGAAAUCUCAUAAAAGACCAGUGAGGAAGCGCGUGCAAUACCUUGAGAUAAGGAACACUAUUCCCUUAAACAUCACCUUCACAAUAUUUUUCAUGGCUAUCAAUAUAAAAGACUAUGUUUAAUACCCACCUUUCAUGGUAUCGCCUCCACAUAUGCUCUUAUAAUUUUUUUAGUAUGUUCCACAAGGAAAAAAGGCAUGAUACUGGAGAUUACUUCAUGUUGAGGAAUGAAAUUGAAAGACUGAUAUCUAAAGGAUACUUGAAGUAGUUUGUUAAGGGAAAUGCCCACGUAAAUCAUGAUAAAGAAGAACCUAGCCAACCUAACCAAGCUUUACUCGAGAUUAAUAUGAUUCUAAAAAGCACUUGGGUAGGGGAGACACCUUUAGCGGCAACAUGAAAUAUAAGAAAUAGAUCCUUACAAUGGCUUGCCAACAAAGCCCAUGGCACGAGCCCAUUGUUUUCAUUCUAGAAAAUGAAAAAGGGGUGAUUUAUCCCUAUAAAGACACACUGGUUAUUUCCAUGGUUUUGGCUAACCAUAGAGUCCAUAGGAUAUUGGUGGAUUAUGAUAGCUCUAUCAACAUUCUUUUCAUAUAUGUAAUAUUCUAGAUAGGGAUAGAUCCCUCAAAGAUGACUAAUGUGAAAACCCUAUUGAUUGGAACUAAAUGGUCAAGAGUACCUAUUAAAGGGUGCCUUAGAGAUUUUUGUCAUGAUUGGCAUGUACUCAAGGUGCCUCACCCUUCAACAAACCUUUAUAAUGAUUAACAUGAUUUUAGCCUACAAUACCAUAAUAGGAAGGCCUCUUUUGCACCAAAUCAAUGCGGUCAUAAAGCAUGCAAUACUCAGUCUUGAAAUUCACCACUUAUCAUUAUUUAUUAUGUCAAUUGACGAAUAUAUUGAAUACAAAUAUCCAUCUAAACAUAUUUAUUCAACAAAAUUAAAUAUUUAUACAAGUAAUUAUAUAUUGAAUAUUAAAAAUCAUAUCCUACAAUGAAAUAAAAAUUCUUGAUGUAUGUUCAAUAUAAAAUUUUAAUUAGUCCUUUUGAAAGCAAUGUCAUAAAUUAUAUCAUUUGAUUUCAUUAGUUUUAUGAAAGGACUUGAUUGAAAAUUAAUUAGGUUAUAAAUGAUACAUAAUUUGAACCUUAUAUAAUUAUAUAUUUUUAAAUAAUUUAAAGAACUUUGAUGUAACUUGAUCUACUAUUAGAGAUAAUAAUUACUUACUUUUGCUUGCUCUUACAUCUUAAAGAAAAUUGAUUUAAUAAAAAAUAAUUAAUAGUAAGUAUAUUGUAAAAAAAUGUGAUUCGAAGUUUUUAUUUUACCUACUAAUAUUUUACCAUCUAUUUAGAAAGUUAAAACAUAAAUGAUCACUCUUUGCGACAUGCGCACAUAAAAAAGAAAAUAAUAGGCACAAAGUUUGAAGGAAGAGAAAAUAUAAAAAAAAUAAUAAAAUAAAUUAGGUGAGAGUUGUCUCGACAUGAAUCAAUUAACUUUGUUAGUCCAAAGAUAACCUGCCCGACCAGUAAAAAAAGUUCUAGGAUGAAAUUAAAAAAUAAAAUUGAUAGAAAAAAAUCUUAUGACCCAAUUCCUUGUCUAGUUUAGGUUUAAAAUUAAAUUAUAUAAGAGUUGUCUUGAUGAGACCCAAUCGACUUAGCCUAUCAAAAAACAACCCAAUUAACCAAUAAAAAAAAUAUGGAUGAAUUUGAGAAAAAAAGGAUUGAUAAAAAAAUAUUUCAACCUGACUCUUUAUCUAACUUAAAUUUAAAAUUAAAUCGUGUUGAAAUUGCCUCAAUAUGAUGUAGUUAACUUUACUAGUUCAAAGAUAUCCGGAAUGAUUAUUAAUAUUUUUUAACAAUGAAAUCAAAAAUAAAAAAAGGUGCACUUGAAAGAAAAAAUAGGAAAAAUGAAAAAAAAAACUGAAUUGAAAAGAAGCAGAAGAGUAGCUUCACCCAAAAAGCAGUCAAAUUUUUAGUGGAGAACGGUAGGUAAUAUAUUGACAUCACUUUUAAUUCGAAAGAGUUUAUUAUAACUUAAUCCUUGUGAUUUAGCAAAAUUAAUUAAUUAGUUAUGAUAGUUUCAAAAACUUAGAACCACUUUUAUAAUGGAUAUUAAUGAAUGGUUUAAAAUUAUUCAAUUAUAAUAAUAAUAAGGUCAUUAGAACCACUUUUAUAUAAAAAUAAUUAUUAUAAAAAAAUCAUGGCUCACCUUAUCGAAAAACUCUCUGGCUCUCACCAUCUUUAAAUACCAACCGUGAAAAAUCAUUUCUAUGGAGUUGAAUUUUCAAUUUUAUGAAUUCUCCGUCCAAUUGGAGAGAUUGAUAAUUAAUUGUGAAAAUCGUCGAAAGUUCUUUGAUUUCAUACGAAAAGUAUAUAUAUAUAUAUAAUAUUCUCACAUUUCUAGGUGCUUUGAUUUUAUACGAGAAGAAAAUCACGUGGACAUGUCAAACUGAAAAGCAUUCAAAAUUGCCUGUGUUAACUUUUCAGAAUCUCCCUUUGUCUUAUUGUUUGCAAUUUUCUUGUCAUCUUAAAAUAAGGGCGUUGCUCAGAUUAGUCCCCAACUAUCAAUAAAUUCUCAAUAACAUUACAUACCCAAGAAAUGCUACCCUUUCAAGCCAGAACUCGCUUUUUAAGAACUUGCUACACAACUCAUGAUCUUGUAGAGUUUAAAGCAUUAUUUUCAAGUGCUGCUUAUAUUUCUCUCUAGACCUUGAAUACAUCAAAAUAUCAUCAAUAAAAACUAUAAAAAAUCAAUUAAUAAACUGCUUGAACACUCUAAUAAUUAGGUUUGUGAAAACCGUUGACAUAUUCAUUAAUUCAAAAGAUAUCACUAAAAAAUCAUAAUAAUUAUAUCAAGUUUUAAAGGCUAUCUUUGAAAUGUUCUCCUCUCUUAUCUUCAACUGAUGAUACUUAGAUCGAAGAUUGAUCAUAGAAAAGAAUUGAGCUCCAUGCAAUUGGUUAAAUAAAUUAUCUAAUGUAAGGGAAUGGAUACCUAUUUCGAACUACCACAUGAUUCAGUUGCUUAUAAUCUAUACACAAUCUCAAUAACUUAUCCUUCUUCUUGACAAACAACACUAAGGCUCCCCAAGAAAACACACUCGAUUGGAUGAACUCCUUGUCCAAUAAAUCCUGCAGGUGAUCCUUUAGUUCUCUCAACUCUAUUGACAUCAUUAUAUAAGGUGCCAUUGAUAUUGGCUCGGUAUCCGGAACUAAAUCAAUGCAAAAUUCAAUCUCUCUAUAUGGAGACAAUUUAGGUAAGUCAUUGGAAAAGAUAUCAAUAAAAUCCUUGACUAUAAGGACUUGGUUUAAUUGGGGAACUUCUGUCUUUGCAUCCACCAUUUUGAAUAAAAUAAAAACUAAUAGAAACAAAAAAAAAAAUAAAAAUCCCAGCCAUUAGUUUUUUUAUUUCUUAUAUGUUUUUUUUUUAAUUUUGUGAGAAAAAAAAACAAUUUCUUUAAGGACCAAUUCAUUUAUAUAGGAGUUCAAUUUCCAAAUUGAUAUAAAUACAUGACAUUGUUAGGAUGGAAAUGGGAGAAACUUUUCUUUAAGGACCCAUAAUCAUCAAUCUCUCUAGCCAGAGGAAAUGAAUGGAAAAUUCAACCCCAUAUAUGGAAGCAUCCUUUUCUUAUCAGCAAUAAACAUUUUUCCUUAAUUUAUUAAUAGAUAUUUUCAAAAUAAAGGUUUUUUAAACUUUAAUAUCGUACUGGCUGAAUAUUAAUAUGAACAGGAUUCUUGAAAGAUAUUUUGUUUUUCACACAUAUUGAAUAUAAUUACAGUGUGGUUGACUUGGUCACAGGAAGCAAAGAACUUUGGACGAUUUUCACCAUUAAUUAUCAAUCUCCCCAAUUGGAUGGAGAAUUCAUAAAAUUGAAAAUUCAACUCCGUAGAAGCAUCUUUUUCCUUAUUAGCUUUUACUUUCUGUUGAGUCGAAAGACAAAAAAAAAAAAAAUCUAUACUUUCUCUAACUCCAUUUUCAUCUCUUCCUUUUAUCUCAUUUCCCCCUAAUUUUACCAUGGAUAUUAUACGAGGAUGUAAGAAAAGAUUUAUAUUAAUUUAUUAUUAUUAUUAUUUUCGAUUAAUUUUUUUAAAACCAUAAUAUAAAUUUUUUUUAUACAUAUAUUAAAAUUUAUUAAAAAAUAAUAUAAAUUAUAUCUUUUACUUCAUCAAAAAACUUAAGUUAUUAAAUUAAAAUGAUUAUUUAAAAUAAUAUCAGAGUAUAAAUAGUUAAGCAAUCACAAGUUUAAGAUGGUGUUUGGUAUUGUGGCCGCGGGUGAACCUCACCCGCAACCACAACACAGUUUUUUAAUGAUGGAUCCCACCAUUAACUGUGGUGUAACCAUAGUUUACAAGAAGCAGCUCUUGGCUGCUUCUUGUAACGGGAAAAUGGAUGAACAGUAGAGACAUGCUCCACUGUUCAUCCAUUUAAAUUACCAGUGGAGCCAGUGAACAGUUUAGUUUAGGUUUUUUUAUUUUUUAAUUUUGAAAAAUCAGUGUGCUACACUAUUUGUAUGAAAAGUUAAUUUUUUUUUUUGAAAAAUCAGUGUAAUUAAUUGAUUUCACUCGUACUAUUCACGUGAACAUGAACAAUAUUUUUUUUUGUUUGUUAAAAAAAUAGUUUAAGAUGAAUUAAAUUUAUUCGUACUGUAAUCUCAAUUUUAUUCAUGAUAAUAUUUUAUCUAAUUUUAUUGUAUGCUCAAAAAAUCAUGAAAACUAUAGUUUUUGUUGAAUUAAUUUUGUACGUAAUGAAAUUGUAAAUUUUGUUUUCGAAAAAUUGAGUUUUACUCGAAAAACUAGUAUUUAAUAUUAUUUAAUAACAUUAUAUAAAUUAAAAGGAUAUCGCAUGAUGAUGUAUCAUUUGUGGAAUUUGAUUGCAAUUCCAAUUAUGUUCUUGCCGGGUCCGACCCAAUUAAAAAAAAUUCAGUUUUAUUUUUUUUAAUUGUGUUUUAUUCAAAAAAUUAGAAGAAUAUCGCUUGAUGACGUUACAAAAAAUUCAGUUUUUGUUGUUGCAUCCUUAAGAAACUAUAAAAAAUAUAGUUAUUGUUAGAUAGAUUUCGUAUGUGAUAACAUUGCAUAUAGUUUAAUUGAAUAAUAAAAAAUAUUUGAUAUCAAUAUUAUUUAUUUCAUGAUGUAAUAAUAAUAGUUAAAUCUACAAUAUUUAAAUUAAAAAUAUUUUUUAAUUAUUUUAUAACCUCAAUUUGAAAAUCAUUUUUUUAACAAAACACAUUAAACUAUUUUUUGUUCAACCUCAAUUCCAACCACAGUUUUAACCAAACAUAUAUUUUUCCAAACCAACCUCAACUAAAAGUACUUUUUAUAAAAUAACUUUUUUAAAACCACAAACAUAACAGCAACCGCAAUACCAAACACACACAUCUUAUUAUUUUUAUUUAUUUUAUAAAAAUUAAAUAUAAGAUAAUAUAAAUCUAUAUAAAUUUUAAAUUUAAAAAAUAUAUUAAAAAUUAAUAAAUUAUAUUUUACGAAUUCAAAAAUAAUUACAGCAUGGUUAACAUAUUCAAAUAAUAAUAGGAAGCAAAAAACUUUCAACUAUUUCUUCGUUUUUUCCUCCCCGUAAUAGUCUGCUGCUUACAAUAUGUAAACAAGUUUGACCGUUCAAAUAAAAAGACGCCAGGAGUCCUAUAGCAUCUCCGAUGGAAAACUAAAAAUAAAAAAUUAAUAUUUUAAUUUUUAUUUUUUGCAUAUUUCAAAGAGAAAUUCAAAUAAAAUGCUAAAAUAUUUUUUUUUUCACAAAUGCUAUUUUUACAUAUCUCUUCAAAGAGCCAAAACCAAUAAAGUGGGGCCAUUAAAAAAAUAAAAAAUAAAUAUAACCAUGUAGAAAAAAAAACAUUAAAUUUAUUAAAAAUUAAUAAAACACUUGUUUUUUCUCAAUAUAAAUACUCUUCAAAUAAUUUUUUUUUAUAGGAAUAGAUAUGAUAAAAAAAAUUAUAUUUAUACUAUUUAAAAUAUUAUUUUAUCAAUUUAACUUUUUAAAAUAUCAUUUUGAGUUGCUCUUAAGAGCCGCCAGUACAGUCCUUAUAAGUAUAGGCACAUUCAUGUUCAUUUUUUCAUUGGCGCUCCAUUUCAGUACUUUGUCUCCCUUGGAAACAAAAUCAUUUUAGCUGUUCAUUUAGAUUUCUAUGAUUCAAGUUCCAAAACCCAGAAAGAAGAAUAGAGGAACAAAAUCUGGGGUUUGGUUUGUUUUAGUUGUUGUUUAAGUAUACUGAUCCACCAUCAAUGGGGAGUGCUGAUAUUUACAGAGCUAGUAGUAGUUUAAGAGAUAGUUUAAGAGCAGGUUCGUUUGUAUGGAGAAACAGUACUGUAGAAGCAUUUUCAAGAUCUUCACGAGAAGAAGAUGAUGAAGAGGCUCUAAAAUGGGCUGCGCUGGAGAAACUACCUACUUAUGAUCGUUUAAGGAAAGGUAUAUUGAUGAGUGCAUCACGAGGUGUAAGUAGUGAGGUAGAUAUCGAAAAACUCGGAGUCCAAGAGAGAAAACAGUUGUUGGAAAGGUUGGUCAAAGCUGCAGACGAGGAUAAUGAGAGGUUCUUGUGGAAACUCAAGAAUCGUAUUGAAAGGUAAAAUAUUCUCCUUUGGUUUGUACAUUUACUUUGUUUGGUUGCAGAGAAAAUUUUAGAAAGGAAUCAAGUUUUUAGAUCGAAACAAAAUGGUUCUACUUAAUUGGAUACUUGUUAGUCUCUCUUUCAUGAUAUAUGGAUUGAUCUAAAAAGAAAACAUGGAUUUUGUUCUCCCUCUAUUUACUUGGAAUACAGAGGAACUCUGUUUUGGCUGUUGAAGUUCUUGAUUUUUGGCGUUUCAGGGUUGGAAUUGAGCUUCCAACAAUUGAAGUGCGGUACGAGCAUCUAAAUAUUGGAGCUGAAGCUUAUGUAGGAAGUGGUGCUUUGCCUUCAUUUGCUAAGUUCACUUUUAGUAUAAUAGAGGUAACUACAGCUGCAAACAUUUGACGUCAGUUAAUACAACCGAUUGCCAAAAUAUGAUGCUUUCUUAUUAGCUAAUAACUCAUACAUCAAUUUUGAAGGGUCUACUCAUUGCUCUUCGUAUACUUCCAAGUAGAAAGAGACCACUCACCAUCCUUAAGGAUGUUAGUGGAAUCGUCAAGCCAUCAAGGUAAGAUGAUCAUGAUGUAGAAUCUGUUUGCUUCAAUAGUUUGUUGCCUAUUCUUAAGUUUUGUUUUUUUGCUAUGUACAUGUUUUAGAUUGACUCUGCUCUUGGGUCCUCCAAGUUCUGGGAAGACCACUCUUCUGUUGGCAUUGGCUGGAAAGCUUGAUCCCAGUCUUAAGGUGGUGAUAGAUUCUCGUAAAUUUGUGUAUCCCAUGAGGAUUUAGCUUUUGUUUUCUGCUUUAAUCUGAGAAUCUGAAUUCUUUCUUGCAGUAUUCUGGUCGCGUGACAUACAAUGGUCAUGGGAUGAACGAGUUCGUACCUCAAAGAACGGCUUCCUAUAUCAGUCAACAAGAUCUCCAUAUAGGAGAAAUGACCGUGAGGGAAACUUUGGCCUUCUCUGCCAGAUGCCAAGGGGUUGGAAACCUUCACGGUUAGAAUAAUGGACUAGAUUUUAUAUGCAUAUCCCAACAGAAUCAUAAUCCACUCUAGUGAUCUGUUCAAUAUUCAUAAUUUAAACAUGACUACUAAGUAAAAAUCCUUGCAAUUGUCAGAUAUGUUGGCAGAGUUGUCGAGAAGAGAGAAAGAAGCCAACAUUAAGCCUGAUCCAGAUAUUGAUGUCUUCUUGAAGGUGAUGAAAUAUAUUACUAUUUUGCCUAUUAGACUUCCUUUAUGGUAGCUAGAAUAAGCUACGAUGAUGUAGAAAGCAAUGUUCAUUUUCUGUUGUUUCUGGUAUUACAGGCAGUAGCAACACAGGGUCAAGAGGCCAAUGUCAUCACCGAUUACGUCUUAAAGGUAGUACCACUAUGUAGCAUUGAAAUGUCAUGAAAGUCUUCAGAAAACGUGAACAUAAUAUCUCUAAAUCUCUUAAAUUCUCUGGAAAUUGUAGAUAUUAGGAUUGGAGGUCUGCGCAGAUACUCUGGUAGGUGAUGAAAUGAUAAGGGGUAUCUCUGGAGGACAAAGGAAGCGUGUUACAACUGGUAAAAAUCUCCAUUAGUCCAUAACUAACAUCAUAGAAAAAUUAUUUCGCUUCACUCUCCAAUUAAUCUAUAGAGAUCUCCAUUGAUCUGUCAUAGGUGAAAUGCUGGUCGGACCAUCAAGGGCAUUGUUUAUGGAUGAGAUUUCUACUGGCUUGGACAGCUCAACAACUCACCAAAUUGUGAACUCAUUAAAGCAAACUAUUCACAUUCUCAAUUGCACUGCCGUCAUCUCGCUUCUCCAGCCAGCACCGGAGACUUAUGACCUCUUUGAUGACAUUAUUCUCCUGUCAGAUGGCCAAAUUGUGUACCAGGGUCCUCGUGAAAAUGUGCUUGGAUUUUUUGAACAUAUGGGCUUCCAGUGUCCUGAAAGAAAAGGCGUGGCAGAUUUUUUGCAAGAAGUAAGCUUAAAUGAAGCGGUUUUACAUGGAACCUUUAUUACACUAGGAUCUCCUAUAUUCAAUAAAAAGAGCCUCGUGUAAGUAUCACAAUCUUCAUGAUCGAUAAUGAAGGAGUUUUUCGCAGGUGACGUCUAGGAAAGAUCAAGAGAAGUAUUGGGCACGUAAAGAUCAGCCUUACAGGUUUAUCACAGUCAACGAAUUUGCUGAGGCAUUUCAAUCAAUCAGCGUGGGACGAAGGGUCAUAGAGGAGCUUGCAAUCCCAUUUGACAAGACCAAGAACCAUCCAGCGGCAUUGGUAAACAAAAAGUACGGAGCUGGAAAGAUGGAUCUGCUUAAAGCUAACUUCUCAAGAGAAUUCUUGCUCAUGAAGAGGAACUCAUUUGUCUACAUCUUCAAGAUAUUCCAAGUAAUUAUCGAUAGUCAUUACAAUAUCCAAGUUCUGUUUACUUUCAAAUUUUGCAUUCAAUGUGACUCCUUUUCACUUCGUAUCAGCUUACAAUGAUGGCAAUUAUUUCAAUGACACUCUUCUUCCGGACCAAGAUGCCUCGAGAUACAGUCACGGAUGGUGGAAUUUAUACUGGUGCUUUGUUCUUCACUGCGAUCAUGAUCAUGUUUAAUGGUAUGGCUGAGCUAUCUAUGACCAUCGCGAAGCUUCCUGUGUUCUACAAGCAAAGGGAACUCCUAUUCUUUCCUCCAUGGACAUAUUCAAUUCCGCCUUGGAUCUUGAAAAUUCCCAUUACAUUUGUUGAAGUUGCUGCAUGGGUGUUCCUAACUUAUUAUGUAAUUGGAUUUGAUCCAAACAUUGCAAGGUAAAUAAGAAUUCUUGAUUUUCUGUAAGCUUGUACCAGAAUCCAUUCUGAUCCAGCUGUUAUAACAAGGUUGUGUUUCUUUCUUUCAUUUUUUGCAGGUUUUUUAAGCUGUACUUGGUGCUUGUGCUAAUUAACCAGAUGGCGUCUGCACUAUUUCGAUUUAUUGCUGCAGCUGGAAGGAACAUGAUUGUUGCUAACACCUUUGGAUCAUUUGUGCUCCUUGCACUUUUUGCGUUGGGUGGCGUCAUCUUGUCCAGAGGUAUGAUGAGUAUAAUAUCGCACUCGAAAAUUAUAUUUUUUCUGCCAAGCCUGGAGGAACUCAUAAUGUGUUUUUUUGUUGAAUGGAACAGAGCAAAUAAAGAAAUGGUGGAUAUGGGGUUACUGGGCUUCACCAUUGAUGUACGGGCAGAGCGCAAUAGUAGUGAAUGAGUUCCUUGGACAUAGCUGGAGUCAUGUAUGGUUUCUUUAACUCACCGUUUGUAUAUUUGUGCCAUCGGCUCUCAAUAAUCAACUGGUAUCUGAAGUUAUUUUUCGAAUCACAGAUUCCUGCAGGCUCCACAGAAUCACUAGGAAUCCAAGUUUUGAAGAGUCGCGAAUUCUUCACAGAAGCGUAUUGGUACUGGAUAGGAGUCGGGGCAACAGCAGGAUUCAUACUACUAUUCAAUGUCUGCUUUGUUGUGGCCCUCACUGUCCUCGAUCGUAAGUGUCAUUACCUUCACAACGCCAUACCUCUUGAAAGUUGGAGCUUAUAUUAAUAUAUAGCAAAUUAUGUUGGCAGCAUUUGAGAAGCCUCAGGCUGUUAUAUCUGAAGAACCGGAAAGUGGUGAUUCUGAAGGAGCUGUUCAGUUAUCAAACCGUGGAAUCAGUCACCAAACCAACACAGGUAAAAGAACUCAAAUAAUGAAGUGCUCAAGUCAUUUCCCAGCCUAUUAGGUAUCAAAUUACCGAUAUAUUUUCAAUUUACAAGCAGCGAGUGGAGUUGAAAUUAAUAGAAGUGGUUCAGAUUCCAUUGGUGAGGCCAGCAACAACAGGAAGAAAGGAAUGGUUCUUCCAUUUGAACCACAUUCCAUCACAUUUAAUGACGUUAUUUACUCCGUUGACAUGCCACAGGUAUCAAGAUUCAGUAGUACGAUUAUAUCUCGCUUUGAUGUCAUAUGAUUGAAUGAACAUAGAAAUACUGAUCAUGUUGGUAUUGAGAUUUGCAGGAAAUGAAAGUUCAAGGAGUCGCUGAGGAUAGGCUGGCGCUUUUGAAGGGUGUGAGUGGUGCUUUCAGGCCCGGUAUCCUUACAGCUUUGAUGGGUGUUAGUGGUGCUGGAAAAACGACUUUGAUGGACGUGUUAGCUGGUAGGAAAACUGGUGGAUAUAUUGAGGGAGACAUCAAGAUUUCAGGGUACCCAAAGAAGCAAGAAACUUUUGCUAGAAUUUCUGGAUACUGUGAGCAAAAUGACAUUCACUCUCCACAAGUUACCGUCUAUGAAUCCUUACUCUACUCAGCUUGGCUUCGUCUACCUUCAGAAGUUGACUCUGAAACCAGAAAGGUAGGCACCGUUUGCCUUGAAUUUAAAUAUGCUUCAUACAUUAGGUAUUUAGCGUGCAGAUUUGGGUUCCGUGAAUAUUUUCUUGUUUUCGUGUUUACUUUCAUCCAUUUAAGUUUAAUUUAGCUUUACCAUUUUGUACUUUAUCCUUGGAUCAAGGUCAAUGUCCCGGUUCUAUCUAGCAAAGGAUACUGCUGGUGAAGUUGAUCUUAUGCGGUGAUUGUGCUAAAUAUUAUGGUUUUUUUUAGUCGGCCUAACCCAAUCAACUUCUUCAUUUCUAGAUGUUCAUUGAGCAAGUCAUGGAUCUUGUGGAGUUGAAUCCGUUGCGCAGUGCAUUAGUUGGGUUGCCUGGUGUGAAUGGUUUGUCCACUGAGCAACGCAAGCGGCUAACCAUUGCAGUUGAGCUAGUUGCAAACCCUUCUAUCAUAUUCAUGGACGAGCCAACUUCAGGGCUAGAUGCUAGAGCCGCUGCCAUUGUGAUGAGAACAGUUAGGAACACUGUUGACACAGGAAGAACAGUUGUUUGCACCAUCCAUCAGCCCAGUAUAGAUAUAUUUGAUGCCUUUGAUGAGGUAAAAAUUGUCAACAAAUUAUCUGAUCUAGAACUUUGUCAAGAGUUUAUCAACAUAAUAACCUGGAUUAUUAACAUGGCAUUGUAGUUGUUCCUGAUGAAGCGAGGAGGUGAAGAGAUAUAUGUUGGGCCAGUGGGUCGUCACUCUAUCCAUCUGAUUAAGUACUUUGAGGUAUGUUUAAUUUGGUUAAUAAUUAAAUAACCUAUGCUCAUACCAACUAUAACUGACUAAUAUUCAUUUAAUUGUUAAGGAAAUUGAAGGAGCGAGUAAAAUUAAAGAUGGCUAUAAUCCAGCAACUUGGAUGCUGGAGGUUACUUCAUCGUCGCAAGAGAUGGCUUUGGGGGUUGAUUUUGCUGACAUUUACAAGAAUUCAGAUCUGUUCAGGUCAGCUAAAGUAGUUUUUUAAAGUACUGAAAAAUAUUCUAAAGCCCUCCCAAAUAAGCUUUGAUGACAUGAAAUAGUAAAGCACUUAAUAAUUGAGAAUUAGAGUUCAAUUUGUCUAAAGUUUGUCUCUGAUGCGUGGCUUAAUUCAGGAGAAACAAAGCACUUAUUGCAGAACUAAGCACACCUGCUCCUGGCUCGAAGGACAUUUAUUUCUCCACGCAGUACUCGACAUCAUUUUUCACACAAUGCAUGGCUUGCUUGUGGAAGCAACACUGGUCAUACUGGAGGAAUCCACCAUACACUGCCGUGAGAUUUCUUUUCACAACCUUUAUCGGGUUGAUGUUUGGGACAAUGUUCUGGGACCUUGGCUCCAAAGUGUAAGUCACAAUGGCUAGCUUAAAACAAUACAUAUAGAAGGUGACGCUUUGAUGGUUUGCCACAUGCAGUUCUACCAAUUCAUCUAACUUGUCUUACAAACUGUAGGAGCACUACCCAGGAUCUUUCCAAUGCUAUGGGUUCAAUGUAUGCAGCAGUUCUUUUCCUUGGUUUUCAAAAUGGAUCAGCUGUACAGCCAGUGGUGGCUGUUGAAAGAACCGUCUUCUACAGAGAAAGAGCUGCCGGAAUGUAUUCAGCUUUGCCCUAUGCCUUUGCACAGGUAAUCUAGGAUUCACCUCAUCAAGUAAAUUAUUAUUGCAUGUUUCAUGCAUUGAUCACCAAAACUUCAUCUUAUGUUGCAGGUCUUGAUUGAGAUUCCUUAUGUGUUUGUUCAAUCCGCUGUCUAUGGUGUUAUAGUUUAUGCAAUGAUUGGGUUUGAAUGGACUGCUGCUAAGUUCUUUUGGUAUCUGUUCUUUAUGUACUUCACAUUAUUAUACUUCACCUUAUAUGGAAUGAUGUCCGUGGCUGUGACUCCAAACCACCACAUUGCCGCCAUAGUUUCCACCGCAUUUUAUUUAAUAUGGAACCUCUUCUCGGGAUAUAUAGUCCCUCGACCUGUAAGUGCUAAAUAUAUAUAUAUAUCUUAAUCAUUUCAAAUUCUAAGUUUCCAUAGUGACUGCUUACCUUGAGGAACAAUAUUGUGAUUCUUUUUUCUGCCUUGGUCUAUUACAACAGCGCAUACCUGUAUGGUGGAGGUGGUACUACUGGGCAUGCCCCGUAUCAUGGUCCUUGUAUGGAUUGGUUGUAUCACAGUAUGGAGAUAUACAGAAAGAACUCACCGGAACUCAAACAGUGAAACAAUAUGUGAAAGACUAUUUCGGAUUCGACCAUGAUUUUGUUGGAGUAGUUGCAGCCGCGGUUCUUGGCUGGACAGUCCUCUUUGCGUUCAUAUUUGCCUUCUCUAUCAGAGCCUUCAACUUCCAGAGGCGAUAGGGAUUUUCUUUAACACGCUUCAAUCUAUGUUUCUCCCUUUUCUGUGUUGUUACAUGUUUGUAACAACACGUUAAUAUAGUUUAUUGAAACUUAUUAACUAAGAUAAUUAAGUUAAUGUUAAUUAAUGCUUGUAGUUCCACAAACUGCAUACAUACUUCAUCUCUUAAAUCUAUAUGUAACUUCCAUGUCCUUUAAUUUCCUAUUUAUUUGGGUUUUGAAAAUAAUGAUUUAUUCUUUACUAUUCUAUAUGCUUAAUGAGGUUUUUAUAUUCCUUAAUAAUUAAAAAUAAAACUCUCUUUUUUUUAAUCUUAAUAUGACUGGUUUAAGACAAGAUGAGUAGGAGAAACAAAAAAUUGGAGGUGAACCUCGUUCACUACUUCAUAUUAUUGAUCAGCCAAUAGUGCUAUGGCACAUGUCAUCCUAUUUAACUACAUCAUUAACUUGAAAAUAGAAAAUAAUAACUGAUCAUUAUAAACAAAAUCGAAAUGAGUAGGACCAGAAAAGGUUUCCAAAAUGAUUAGCUAUUAAAAUUCCAAAACUUCAACAGCUAAAAACUUGUAAUGUUUUCAAAUAAAAAGAAAGAUUUUGUAAUGUUUUGAAUUAAAAAGUAGGAAAAAGACAAUAAAGUCCUUGAAGGCUUAAACAGUAAAUAUAAUUAAAGGAGGGGUAUUGUAGUAAUUGAAUAAAAAGAUGAUAAAUAUAAAUAGGAAAAAGAGAGAGAGAGCUGUGUUCUUAGAGAACAAACCGCGAGAGAGUAGGGAGAAAGAAGAAGAAAAAAAAGAAAAAAGAAGAAAAUUAAAAGGGAAAUAGAAAGGAGUUGGAGGAAAUAAAUUUAAAGGUAAGAUUUAGGUUGUUCAAUGUAUGUUAAUUGAGUUUUUAACUUCUAUUUUAAUAAAUGUUAGGGUUUUGAAGAUUGUGUUUUGGGUUUAAUUGAUGAAUUAAUUUGAAUAUUAUGGGGUUGAUUGUUAUGGGUAAUGGAUUGUUUAGUUGAUUUUGAGAGAUUGUAGGUAAAGAUGAUGAUUUGAGAUAAGAUUUGUGUAAAUGAUGAUAAAAUUUCGGUUUGGUCCCUCAAUUUGUAAAAAUUACAGUUUAGUCCCCAAACUUUAGAAAAUUACAAAUUGGUCCUUAGAGCAUAUUACGAGAUUCUGAAUAGAAUAAAAGAUGAAUCAUUGGCAGAAUUUCUGUAUAGUUAUGAAAUUUUAACACUUUCAAUUUGGUCAUUCAAUUUGAAAAAAAUUACAAUUUGACCUUAAAAAUUUGAAAAAAAUUCUAUAAUGGUUCCUAGAGCAUAAUGAGAUAUUCUGGACAGAAUUGAGAAUUAAAUAUGGUUAUAAUUUCAGUAUAGUCAUGGAUUUACAUUUUUAUGCUGUAUAUCAUUUUUUAUGACAUUGAAUCAUUGACGAAACCAACAUAAUAAAAAGAAAGCUGCCAUUUCUUGUAAGAAACUCAAAACUUUCUUUUAAAAAAUAGCUUUUUAUUUGUUAGAGAAUCUUUUUGAGCCAUUUUCAAAACAACUUUUUCUUCACAAACCCAUUUUCUCAUAUGCCAAAACAAUAUUUAAAAUUUCCUUAUAGGAUAUUUUGUGCUUUUGACCAAAUACAUCUAAAUAUCUAUGGGAUGAAAAUACUUCAUAUUUAUAUCUUAAUGGUUUUUUUUUUUCAAUAAUUGGACCUAUAUGGACACAAUCAUUAAAUUUAUGGCUUAGUUCCAAAAUAAUAAAGAUGAUUUAAAAAAGAAAAUGUUUUACAACAGAUUUUCUCAUUGAUUGAAUUUAUAAAUAAAAAUAAAUCCAAACCUUUUAAUCAUGAAGUCUUAAGCCCUGCUAUCAGGGAAUUCCAAACUCUAUUAUCAAGAAGUCUAAGUUCUAUAAUCAGGAAGUUUAAAGCUAUGUCACUAGGGAGUUCCAAGCUUUACUAUUAGAAAGUCCAAUUCUUGUAAUCAGGAAGUUUAAAGUCCUGUCAUUAGAAAAUUCCAAGCCCUAUUAUAAUGAAAUUUCAAGCCCUAAUAUUAGGAAGUUCAAGGCAUGCAAUAAUAAAGUUUUAAACCUUGUCAUCAUGAAGUUUCAAGCCCUUCCAUCAGGGAACUUCAAGCUCUCUAGUCAGGAAGUCCAAGUUUUAUAAUUAGAAAGUUCAAAGCCUUGUCACCAGGAAGUCCAAGCCUUGUCAUUAGAAAUCUUAAGCCAUGUCAUCAGGAAUCUUAAGCCCUGUAAUUAGGAAUUUUAAACCUUGUCAUUAUGAAAUUUCAAGUCCUGCCAUCAAAAAGUACACCCUUCCAUCAAGGUUGGUCACCUAUCAAUUUUGAUGUAUUUUUUUUUAAUUUAAAUUUAAUGACAAGGUUGAUCACCUAACAAUUUUGAUCUAUUUUUUAAAAUCUCAUGUCAAGGUUGGUUACCUAACAAUUGAAGAUUUAAGAAUCAAUUUUGAAACAAAAAUAAAUACUUAGACAGUUUUUUUCCUCAUUGUCCAUAGGUCACGUUUUAAAUUGUUUUAGUCCUAACAUUUUUUUUAAUUUUUUAUUCACGUUCAUUGGGUUUUUUAGCCAUGAUCCAGUGACAACAAAAAAUCAUCCUUGAUGUCAAUAUGUUUCUUUUUACAGGACGGGUUCCUUUAUAGUUUUUUAGCCCUUCAUCUUAGCCAAAAAAAAGUUUGUUCUUUUCAUUUUUAGAGAGCUUAGAGUCUAAUUUGAGGUUAUGAACAAGUUUAUUAAGAUCUCAAUGGAGCUUUUUAGGUGUUUUCGAGUGAAUGAAGGGUUGGAAAACGGGUUCCCUGCUAUCAAGGUUGGUCAGCUAACAAAUUUAACCCAUUUUUAAUUCUCAUCUCGAUAUUGAUCACUUAACAAUUUUAACCCAUUUUUAAUUCUCAUUUUGAGGUUAGUCACCUAACAAUUUUGACCCAUUUCUUUUAAUUUAAAUUUCAUGACAAGGUUUGUCACCUAACAAAUUUGACAAAUUUUUAAUUUUUAUUUUGAGGUUGGUCACCUAAAAAUUGAAGUUUAGGGAUCAAAGUUGAAACUAAAACAAAUACUUAGCCUUUUUUUUUUCUUGUCAUGCAUGAGUCAUGUUUUAAAUUCUUUUACUCCUAGAUUUUUUUUAUCCUAAUUUCUUAAGGUUUUAAGCCACAAUCUAGUGACAAAAAAGGUCUUUUUUGGUGUCAAUAUGUUUUUUUUACAAGAGAGGUUCUAUUAUAGUGUUUUUAGCCUUUCAUCUUAUUAUACAAAUUUUAAUGGGUCUUGUCACACCCUCACGACGACCCUCGAUUGAUUUUAGGGUUUUUUUUGUGCAUAAGGGAGUCGCCAUCUAAUAUUAUGGUCACUAGAAAACCUAAUUGAUUUUUUAGAGAUUCUAAGGCAAGGGACUGGUUGCAUAUAGGUAAGGUAUUAGCACCCCUAGUACGCCCUAUCUAAGAUAAGCUGCUUUAUGUUUGGUUUGCCUUAUAAUUGCUAUGGUGUUGGUGUUUUCUAAUCCCAUCAAUUUUCUUAGGAUACAUUUUGCUAUGAUGAACAAACUUAGACUGAAAGUCUAAAAAUAAAAAACCCUUGGUCAAUGUGGAUCACAUCCUUAGAUAUGUCUACAAAGUACCAAGAAGAAUUAACGCAGAUCUCUUGAAAUUUGUGUUUGAUUCAGACUAAAUCUAUUAAGAUAGAAAUCCAAGCAGAUUCCAUAUGCUUUAAAAGCUCUUUUUUCCCUUAGUAUUUCAAGAGUUUUGCGACUCGUAAAUCGCAAGGAGAAUUGACAAAAAUUUAGAAAUCUAAGGAAAUUGAGGGCACUUUAAAAGCCUAUUUUUUCCUUAGUGUUUCAUACUCUCACGGCUCGUAAACCAUGGAGUCAAAAAUUGAAAUUUCCUAAAUUAUAAUCGAGGCUUCUUUCAAGGAUGUGUGAUGAUUUAUUAUUCCUAGAAAAUUAUUUUGGAUAUUUACCACUUAGGGUUUCUUUCUCCAAAUAUUAACAUUGAAUAAUAACAAGUUAUUCCCAAUAAUAUUUUGGAUAUUCAUCCCUUUGGUAUUUCUUUAUCCAAACAUUGAAAUGAUGGCCCGUUGGCUGGUCGAUAUUUCUCCUCUGUUUCUCAUGUUGCUGGAAGGGAAGGAUGGCUUCUCCUGAUUUUGCUACUGCGGCUGAGGAAAGGUGUGGCUUCUGCUGGUUCCAUCAUUGCGGUUGAGGAGGCUACAGCUGGGCAAGUGGCUCAACUUGUUUUUGGUUAUUGUUGGUGUUGGCCAUGGUUUAGCAGAGGUGGUGCUGCUAGCUGCUGGGAUUUUUCGAGGGAGGCUGGUCUGCGAUUCUGGUGUUGCUUCUCUGUUACUAUCGGUGGAAGGGCUAGCUGUGGCUUCUGGUUUUGAAUGUUAUCAGGCGGGGCUGAGCUGAGGAAGAGAUGGGAUGAGUGGAGAGUCGUUUCCUGGGGUUGUGUUGAUAGAGAGGGAAGGCAUGUAAGGGUUGUUCACGGCGGUUGCAAGCUGGGGUAGUAAGGUUUGGUGAAGGGAGAAGAGAAGCUUGUGUGCAAAGGGAAAGUUUUGGCUGAGAAAAAGGGAGGAACAAUGACGACUGUUGUGGAGAGGGAGGGUGGCAGCUGCCUCUUGGUUGGGAGAGAAAAUCGUGAGUUUGUGUUCAGCUAAAGAGGGAAGGUCGUACGUGUGGGGGCUGAGGGAGGAGAAGAAGAUAGGGAAAAAGCUGGGGAGGGUUUUGGUUUUUUUUUCUCUCUCGCCCCCUAGGGAUGGAUGGUUGGCUUGAUAAAUAUGGGUUUUUUUAGGGUUUUCUGUGUGCCAUUCCUUUAAAAUUCUUCCCUCUAGUGCAUAUGGUUGGAGGUUCACUUAUAUAGAAAAUCUCUACACGUACUAUUUAAGGAAAUAUUGCUAUAAUUAUUGUAGAGAUUGUGUUUUAUAACCAACACCAACAAAUCCUAUAUAUAUAUAUAUAUAUAUAUAUAUAUAUAUAUAUAUGAUAUUUUAUAUUGCAGUGAUUAUUUUCCAUAACCAGUGUUGUAACCCAUUUUUGGGUCCCCAUGAAAAAUAAAAUAAAUAGCCAAAAGAGGUUUAGAAAAAUAACAGGAGGCAGAAGAGCUCAGAAAACAGUCAGAAAAUUGGGCAAGGAAUUUGAAAAUACAAGGAUUGAAAUUUUGACAGUAUAUUCUUGAAGGAUGAGAGCCUUAUUAAGAAAGAAAAUUUAAAUUUUGAGGAGAAAAGCCCACAUUUGGAUGUUCAUGGACUUAAUUGGAUUUUUAUUUGAAUUUAUAGAGGAUUUGAUUGCAAUAAAAAUUAAUUUUUAAGUCAAUUUGGGCUUUAAUUAGAAGAAAUUUAAGUUCUGGGGCCAAAAUAUAUUUUUUAGGAAUUUAUUAGGUCAAAUCAGGGGCUUAAUUGCAUAAAUAUUGAAGUUUAAUGGCCAAUUAGGGACUUAAUUGUGAAAAUCCGAAACCAGGGACCAAUUUAGAGAAGGCGCAAAGAUAGAGGGGGCUGUUUGGAAUUGAUUCAGGGGCUUAAUUGAAGAAAUUGGAAGUUUAUUGAUCAAUUAGGAGCUUAAUUGUGAAAAUCAGAGGCCAAGGACCAAAGUGAAAAACGCGGCCAACUAUAAGGGUAGGGACCGAAUUUGGCAGGGACGCAAUUGAAUUUUAUUCUUAAAAUUAGGACUCGAUUGAAGGACUUAAUAGAACAAAUGAUAAAUUAAGGACUGAUUCAAAACAAAUGUUCUGGCGCCUUUUUUUUAAAAUGAAACGGCGUGUUUUCUUCAAAACGACGCCGUUUCAUGAAUAAUUAAAAAAAAAAAACCGAACGGUGCCGUUUUGAACGACACUGUUCACCUUUCUUCUUCCCCCGAACAUUACAGCGGGGAAGAAGGAAAAGUUUGCAUUUUUUAUUUGUUGCAGGUCCCUCUUGCCACCGACCGACCGAGGCCCCACGCUGGUGGGCCACCGACAUAAGACACUGGCCGACCACCAGCCACGCUGCCGAAGCUGAGGGAGGCCCGCCUGGACAGCCGCUCCUUGACCCGCUCCUUGGCUCCACGGUGAAGCCACGCCCGCUGGUUCUAUAAAUAGAGAACCGAAAGAGAGAACAUGGGACGAAAAACAAAAGAAAAAGAAGAGGAACCCGAAGAGAACAAAAGGAGAGAGAGAGACCGAAGGAGAGAGAAACCACCGAACUUAAGAAACAACCACCGAAAACCCAAAACUAAGAAGCUUGGGAAAAUUUGAAGCCGAUAGGAAACUCAAGAAACCGAAACAGAAGCAACGAACCGGGUGAACGACGACGAACCGUGGGAAACAGCCGUAGAGUCGCCUGACCCGCCGUCCGUAAGCCACGACGCUGCCACCGCCAGCAAGCCGUCGUCUCCAUCGCGACAUGUAAGCUCUCCCCCCUGCACAUUUUUCUUGUAUUACUUAUAAAUUUCGUCUCCUGCAUGCAGAAUCGUUCUGCAUGCAGGGGACGGGGGGGGAAUAAUUCCCCCCGUUCUAUCUUCUCUUCUGGGCCAGACGGUUUCUGGCCCAACCCAGCGGUCUGGGCCGGGUCCGGCCCAGACCAAGUUAGGAUUUUUGGGCCGAAUCCGGCCCAAGACUUGUGGGGCUGAGUCCGGCCCAGUUAGUUGGGCCGGCCCAGCCCCCUUAAUAUAUAAAUAUAUUAUAAUUAUAUAAUAUUAUUAUUAUUAUAUUAUGUGUGUGUGUGUGUGUGUGUAUAUAUAUAUAUAUAUGUUUUAAAAAAAAUAUGAAAAAAUCUAAAACAAAAUGUUGUUGUUUUCUUUUCAUAUAAAUAUAUUUUUGUUUUAUACAUUUGGUUUGUAUUUUUAUACUGUGGAGAUACAAAUUCAGUGUUUAAAAUACCCGGUUUUCGUCCAGACAUCCAAGAUUUUCAAAUAUAAUUUUUUUUUUUUGCUUUCAAAUUUUUUUCUAAAAUUCAUUAAAAAUAUUGUGGAUUUUUCCGCACAUUUGUUGUAUGACUUAAUAUUGGUUUGUAUUUUUAUAGAUACAAAUUCAGUAUUAAAAUACCCGAUUUCGUAAAAACAAAAAAUGUUUUUUUUAAAAGAAAAUGUUUUAUUGCGUGUUGCAUACGGCCAAUACUCUAACAUGUUUUGAAUGUUCUUUUUAUAAAAAAAAUAUUGGAAGUUUUGAAAAUGUGUUUUCGCAUAGAUUUCUUAAACACAAAUUAUUUUCUUGCAUUUCUGGAUUUUACAACAUGUUUGUAAAACUCCAAAGGGUAUUGGCCAUUAUUCCAAAAACUAUAAAAAUCUUAUUUUGGGAGGGGAAUUCAUCUAUUAUUCACCGCUAAUGUUUGGAUAAAGAAAUCCUUAAAGGAUGAAUAUCCAAAAUGUUAUUGGGAGUAAUAAAUCCGCACACAUCCUUGAAAGAAGCCUUGAUUAUAAUCGAGGACAUUUCAAAACUUCAAAUUUUUUACUCCACGGUUUACGAGCCGUGAAAGUUUGAAAUACUAAGGCAAAAGGAGGCUUUUAAAAGCGCUUUGAAUUUCCUUAGAUUUGUAAAUUUUUUGUCCCUCCUUCUUGCGAUUUACGAGUCGCAAACUCUUGAAAUACUAAGGGAAAAAUGAGCUUUCAAAGCACAUGGAAUCUCCUUGGAUUUCUAUCCAAAUAAAUUUUAUUUGAAUCAAACCUAGGAAAAUUGAUGGGAUUAGAAAACACCAACAUCAUAGCAAUUAUAGAGCAAACCAAACACCAAGCAGCUUACCUUAGGUAGGGCGUACUAGGGGUGCUAAUACCUUCCCUUUACGCAACCAGUCCCUUGCCUUAGAAUCUCUGAAAGACCAGUUAGGGUUCCUAGUGACCAAAAUACUAGGUGGCGACUCCAAAGAACAAAAUCCGCAAAACAAAAUGAAAUAUCGCCAGCCGAUGCCGCAUUGGAUUUUUUAAGAGGUGCGACAACCAGCACGAAUCAAAUCAUAUAUCUAUGAUAUUUUAUAUUGUAGUAAUUAUAUAUGAUUCAGUAAUUAUCUCCUUGACAUAUUGCUUCCAUAAUAUUAGCCACAUGUAAACCCUUAUUUAUUUUUUUUGAAAAUUUAUCAAAACAUGGAUCAAAAAUUGGGUAGCAACAAGUCUUUUCAUUUUUAGGAAGCUUAGAGUCUCACUUAAGGUUAUGAACAAAUAUAUUGAGGUCUCAAUGGUAUUUUAGGUGUUUUCGAGUGAAUAAAGGAGUUGAAAAUAGGUUCUUUGCCAUCAAGAUUGGUCACCUAACAAUCUUGAUCUAUUUUUUUUUUAAUUUAAAUUUUAUGACAAGGUUGGUCACCUAACAAUUUGAUCUUUUUUUUAAUUUAAAUUCAAUGAAAAGAUUGGUCACCUAUACAUUUCACCCAUUUUUAAUUCUCAUUUCGAGGCUUGUCACCUAACAAUUUUUUCCUAUUUUUAAAAUUUAAAUUUCAUGACAAGUUUGGUCACCUAGCGACUUUGACUCAUUUUGAAUUCUCAUUUCGAGGUUGGUCACCUAAUAUUCUUGACCUAUUUAAAAAAAUUUCUAUUAAGAACAAUUUGGCCCUAUUUAGAUUUUGUAUUAAUGUUGGUCACCUAAUUAUUGGGAUCCAUUUCAUUUUUCUUGUGUUAUCUUUCUUUUCUUUACAAACUCACUAUACAAAGUUAAAAAAACAAAAAAUUACAAUGAUUUUGUGUUGUACGUACUGUAAAUAGGAAACAAUUGUUAUAACCUAUUUUUUACCGCUAAUUUUUUUAUAUGUUUCCAAAAAUUAUAUUUUCAGUCAAAUUCAAUUUUUGGCACAUAAAAAAAAGAAAGAAAAAAGAGUUUAGGGAGUGAAAUAAGAAGAAGAGAGAACAAGGGACCAAGAAGAGUAGAGACUUAAAAAUAAUAAUGGGUAAUUAUGCAAAAAAAGAAAAAAGAAAUAAAUUCUAGGAUCAAGCAAAAUUAGAAAACUAUUGAUAGAUAUCCUACUCAUCAAGAAAAGGAAACUUAAUUAAUUAGAAUCCAUGGUCAAGAAGGAAACAAUAUAAUUACCUAAUAUUAUUUUUGCAGUUUAGUUUUUCAUGUUUUGCAAACAAUCCUGGGAAAUAUAAAUAAAGAAGAAAACACAAAGAGAAAGGGGACAAAAAAACAAAAAUGAUGGAGGAGAUUCUUGCAAAGAAAAACCUAGCUAACAAAAGAAAAAAUUAUUAAUAAAAAAAAAUCCUAAAAAUUGUUGCAGAAAAGAGGAGAAGACAAACCAAACUUUGCAGCCACUAAUCUCCCACCAUGAGCAGUAGUGACAUACAUCAUCGGUUAGAAGGCAAGAAGGAGAGGAGGGGCAACCUGUGGACUAGUUCACGCCCCCCGACACGCUUAUGAGUGAGAAAAACAUCCCAUAACACCUAUAGUUCCACCACAUCUUUUGUACAUGCGCCAACACUGUUUUAUUUUCUAGCACUGUUUCGCCUCAUUUCGACCUUCCGAGUCAAGUUCCAACCAACUCCAAUGAUUUUUAAAGGUCAAUUUUAAAUCUUAAUGUGUGAUUUACUUAUUUUUAGAAUUAUUUGUAUCAUAUUUGGUGGUUUUAAAAUUUUUAAAUGCGUUGUUGAAUAUUGUUGUUAUUUGUUUUAUUUUGAGUAAUUUGUGAGGUGUGAAUUUUUUUUUUUUGUUAGAUUAUAUUUGUUUACAUUAAUUGAGUUAUAUUGAAUUAUUUGUAAUAUGUGAGCGAAUAUUUUUUUUCUUCUGAUGUGUGGAUAUAUUUGUGGAGUUGUGUUGAGAUUUAUAUUUAAUAACAAUGUAUCAAUUGUUUUUUAUUUGAGAAAUCAACCCAAAAUUAGGCUACUCGUUAUUGACUUCUAUCUUUGAAUGUUAACUAUCAGGUAAUAAAAUUGGUGGAUAUACUUUCAUGUUUCUAGGUGAUUAUUAUCGUAUUUGUUUUUUUUUUCAUUGUGGCGUAUUGUCUGUGAUAUAAGUUGAGAGUUCAAAUUAGGAUUAGAUGACUCAUUCUCGGCUCAUAUCUGGUUGAUUAAAAGAUAUUUGAAUUGAAAAUUACAUGUUUAUGUCAAGUCCAAUGCCUAUCUUUUAUCAAAAUGGGUUAGUGCAACAAACAUGCAUCAUUUCAAAACAAACAAUAAUUCAACUUACCCUAGAUAUGAUGAAUAAGUUGAUUAUAUCUUUUAUAUUACAUAAUCAACCUUUUAUCUAGAAUUUCGAAUAAGAUCAAUUAGAGUUCCUAGUUAUUAUAAAAUUAAAUGACAGCCUCUACUUUUAAUUUUACCCUUUUUAUCAUAUUGCUCGUUGCGAUGUCGUAUGUGACAUAUAUAAUGGACAUAAUACGGAUAUGUGACUUUCUAGCAAACAAAUAUGGUAGAGAAAUUCUCCUUAAAUAUAUAAAAAAACAAGAGAUUGUUAAAAAAUAGAAUAAUUUUUUAUUUUUAAAAAUUGGAGUAAGAAAAUGGAAAACGAAAAACUCAAUGGUCAAAUAGAAUAUUUCUCCUUCUAGAAAUAGAAAAACUAGUUUUCUAAAUUUGCUCUAAUUUUGAAGAACACAUUUUAGAAAUUCCUCAUAAUUUUCCUAUUGUUUUUUAAACAAAAAAGGACAUAUAUAAUAUAUAUUUUUAUAUGCAAGCACUUUUUAGCAAUGUAAAAGAUUAAAAUUAUUUUUUUAUAUUUUUAUAUUUUAUUAGUAUCAUGAAUUUAAUUUUUAUUAUAAAUCUAAUAUAAAGAUUUUCUUAGUAAUAUAACUUUUUUCACAAUAACUAUUAAUUUGAAUAAUAAAAAAUAAAAAUUUUAUAGUUAGAUUAUUACAAAUACAAAAUAUUAUGAUUUUGAUUUUUUUAUAAAAAAUUUUGCAAUCUUUAUUUUUUUUUUUUGGUGAAAAAAGUCAUCUUUCAUAACUCUUCAUUUUGCAUUAUUGCAUGUGGGACAUAUAAUAUCUUCCCUAUAUCCCACGCACGAAGAACAACAAUGUGAAUUCUAGUUCCAUUUGGUGUCAUGGGAUGGUUUUCUUGAAACUAAACUCUAUUACAAUAAAAACGCUUAGGAAAACUCUUUUCCUAUUAAAUCUUCUUAAUAAUACAAAACCUUUUUUUUUGUGUUAAUACUAUCACUGGUCUAUCUACUCCCUUGGUUUUCUUGGACUUUGCCUUCUUCUCACCAUAAACCUAUACACACUGCUUCAUUUUUUGUGGGAACUUAUAAAUUAGUGUUAGAAUAGAAUUCUAGGAAAUGAUGUCGUUGUUAAAUUACAUUCCUUACUUUCUCUUACGUUUAUAGUGGAGAUUGCGUUAGGAGAGGUUUCCAUAUAUUAAUUCAUGAGCAAGCUCUCUCAAGUACAGGCCUUUUAGACCUGAAUCUGAUAGCAAUAUCUUUUGUGAUACUGUACCGUUAUGAAAAUCUCUGUAAUGUGGAAAUUUCUAUUACUAUUAAAAUCUAGUAAAAGUCCAUGCUAUCUUAUCUUGUUCUCAUUUACUCAAAUCUCUGUAAUGGUAAAAUAUUUUUCUACUAUAUUGAAAAUAAAUACUACACCCUCGUUAACAUGAUCAAACAAUAGGAAGCAACUGCAGCUUCAACAAUUUUCCCUCUGUUUUUUUCCCCUUGUUUUCUCCUCCUGAUAGAAAGGCGAACAAGUUUGAGUGCUCACAUUAAGAGCCACCAGUAGUGUACUUAUGUAUUACUAUAAUAUAUAUCCUCACAUUUGGAACUCAUUUUUCAUGCACGCUCCAAUUCCCUUUUGUUUCCCUUAUCAAGAAAACAAAAUCUGGGUUUGACAUUCGGGAAUCAAAAACUCGUUAAUUUGAGGAGUCUUUUUUUUUUUAUUAUUUGAUUUAUUAGAUCUUAUACUUGAAUUUUCAUUUUAGCUGUCUGUUAAGAUUUCUUUGAUUCAAGUUCCAUAACCAAGAAAGAGGAAACAAAUUCUGGGGUUUGUUUUGUUUUUGUUGUUGUUUAAGUGUACUGAUCCAUCAUCAAUGGAGAGUGCUGAUAUUUAUAAAGCUAAUAUCAGGUUCUUCGGUAUGGAGAAACACUACCGUGCAAGCAUUUUCUAUAUCUUCAAGAGAAGAAGAUGAUGAAGAGGCUAUAAAAUGGGCAGCACUUGAGAAACUGCCUACUUAUGAUCGUUUAAGGAAAGGUAUAUUGAUGAGUGCAUCAAGAGGUGUAAUUAGUGAGGUGGAUAUUGAAAACCUUGGAGUCCAAGAGAGAAAACAGCUGCUGGAAAGGCUGGUCAAAGCUGCAGACGAGGAUAAUGAGAAGUUCUUGUGGAAACUCAAGAGUCGUAUUGAAAGGUAAAAUAUUCUCCUUGUUUCUCCUUCGGUAUGUGCAUUUACUUUGUUUAGUUUGCAGAGAAAAUGUUAGAAAGGAAUCAAGCUCUUAGAUCGAAACCUGUACUUCUAUGACAUAACUUGACAAGGGAUUGAUCUAAAAAGAAAAGAUGGAUUUUGUUCUCCCUCCUUUUGCUUGGAAUACAGAGGAACUCUGUUUUGUCUGUUGAAGCUCUUGAUUUUUCUGUAAUUUUUGGUGUUUCAGGGUUGGAAUUCAGUUUCCAACAAUUGAGGUUCGGUACGAGCAUCUAAAUAUUGGAGCUGAAGCUUAUGUAGGACGUAGUGCUUUGCCUUCAUUUGCUAAGUUCAUUUUUAAUAUAAUAGAGGUAACGACAUUAGCAAACAUUUAACAUCAGUUAUUGCUAAUGAAACAUGAACUUCUUUUUUAUUUGGUCAUGCUUUUCUUGUCAACUAAUCACCUCUCUAUCAAUUUUGAAGGGUUCAUUGAUUUCUCUUCAUAUCCUUCCAAAUAGAAAGAAACCAUUCACCAUCCUUAAGGAUGUUAGCGGAAUCGUCAAACCAUCAAGGUAAGAUGAUCAUGAUCUAAAAUCUGUUUGCUUACAAAUUCCUUCAAUAAUUAGUAGCCAAUUCUUAAUUCUUGUGUUAUUGAUGUACAUGUUAUAGAUUGACUUUGCUUUUGGGUCCUCCAAGUUCUGGGAAGACCACACUGUUGUUGGCAUUGGCUGGAAAACUCGAUCCUAGUCUGAAGGUUGUGAUAUAUUCUUGUAAAUUUGUAUAAUCCAUGAGGAUUAGGUUUAAAUUUUCUGUUUAAUUUGAAAAGCUGGAUUCUCUCGUGUAGCUUUCUGGUCGUGUGACUUACAAUGGUCAUGAGAUGAAUGAGUUUGUACCACAAAGAACAGCAGCCUAUAUCAGUCAACAUGAUCUCCACAUAGGAGAAAUGACCGUAAGGGAAACUUUGGCGUUCUCUGCCAGGUGCCAAGGGGUUGGAUACUUGCAUGGUUAGAAUAAUGGACUAAACUCUCUUUGCAUUUUCCAUCAGAAUCAUAAGUUACUCUGGUGAUCAAUAACUAGAGAAAAUUUUGGCAUUUGACAGAGAUGUUGGCGGAGUUGUCCAGAAGAGAGAAAGAAGCCAACAUUAAGCCUGAUCCUGAUGUUGAUGUCUUCAUGAAGGUGAGGAAAGGUAUUAUUAUUUUCUGUAUAAUUGUUUGAAAAAUGACAAGGAAAGGACACAGUAACAUUUUUAUAAAACAACAUCGUUAUUCAGUCCAUCAAUGUUCUUAUCAUUUGAUAUUUAAACUGUAUGUAAAGGCCCUUCUUUUUUUACUUCACCAAUUUAUUAAAUCUCUUGAUCUUUGACUAGAACUGUUAUAAGAAGUUACAAUUUCUGCUGUUUCUGAUAUUGCAGGCAGUAGCAACACAAGCUGAAGAGGCCAAUGUCAUCACCGACUAUGUCUUAAAGGUAGUAUCAGGGUGCAGUACUCUAGCAUCAUUAAAAUCUUCAGAAACCAUGAAAAAUGAUAUCCCUUCAAUUUUUUGUGCCUUCUCUAAAAAUUACAGAUAUUAGGAUUGGAAGUCUGCGCAGAUACCAUGGUAGGGGAUGAAAUGAUAAGGGGUAUCUCUGGAGGGCAAAGGAAGCGUGUUACAACUGGUAACGCUCUCCAUUAGUCCAAUCCUAGUAUCAGGGACCAAUUACUUCUUUUUUUUUUCGUUCUACUAAUCUUCAGUAAUGGAUCAUAGGUGAAAUGCUGGUCGGACCAUCAAGGGCAUUGUUUAUGGAUGAGAUUUCUACUGGCUUGGACAGCUCAACAACUCACCAAAUUGUGAACUCAUUAAAGCAAACUAUUCACAUUCUCAAUUGCACUGCCGUCAUCUCGCUUCUCCAGCCAGCACCGGAGACUUAUGACCUCUUUGAUGACAUUAUUCUCCUGUCAGAUGGCCAAAUUGUGUACCAGGGUCCUCGUGAAAAUGUGCUUGGAUUUUUUGAACAUAUGGGCUUCCAGUGUCCUGAAAGAAAAGGCGUGGCAGAUUUUUUGCAAGAAGUAAGCAAAAAGAAGGCAGUUGUGUUUGGCGCCUGUUUUACAAUAUGAUCUUCUAUUGGCUAUAAGAAGAGCCUUGUAUGUUAUCAUAGUAAAUGAAUUCAUUGCAGGUGACAUCAAGGAAAGAUCAAGAGCAGUACUGGGCACGUAAAGAUCAGCCUUACAAGUUUGUCACCGUCAACGAAUUUGCUGAGGCAUUUCAAUCAUUCAGCGAGGGACGAAGGAUCAUAGAGGAGCUUUCAAUCCCAUUUGACAAGACCAAGAACCAUCCAGCGGCAUUGGCAAACAAAAAGUAUGGAGCUGGAAAGAUGGAUCUGCUUAAAGCUAACUUCUCAAGAGAAUACUUGCUCAUGAAGAGGAACUCAUUUGUCUACAUCUUCAGGAUAUCCCAAGUAAUUAUCGACUGUCAUUACAAUAUCUAAGUUUCUUUCACUUUCGAAUUUUGCGUACAGCGUGACACCUUUUCUCUUCAUAUCAGCUUACAAUAUUGGCAAUCAUUUCAAUGACACUCUUCUUCCGGACAAAUAUGCAUCGAGAUACAGUCUCGGAUGGUGGAAUUUAUACUGGUGCUUUGUUCUUCACCGUGGCCGCGAUCAUGUUUAAUGGUACGGCAGAGCAAUCUACGACCAUCGCCAAGCUUCCUGUAUUUUACAAGCACAGGGGACUCCUGUUCUUUCCUCCAUUGGCAUAUUCAAUUCCUUCAUGGAUCCUGAAAAUUCCCAUUUCAUUUGUUGAAGUUGCUACUUGGGUGUUCAUAACCUAUUAUGUAAUCGGAUUUGAUCCAAACAUUGCGAGGUAAAUAAGAAUUCUUAAUUUUUUGUAAACUUGUACCAGAAUCCAUUCUGAUCCAGCUGUUAUAACAAGGUUGUGUUUCUUUCUUUCAUUUUUUGCAGGCUUUUUAAGCUGUACCUGGUGCUUGUGCUAAUUAACCAGAUGGCAUCUGCACUAUUUCGAUUUAUUGCUGCAGUUGGAAGGAACAUGAUUGUUGCCAACACCUUCGGGUCAUUUGUGCUCCUUGCAAUUUUUGCAUUGGGUGGCUUCGUCUUGUCAAGAGGUAUGAUGAGUGUACUAUUGUACUUGGAGGAAUUCAUCUUCUAUGUUUUUUGUUUAAUGGAACAGAGCAAAUAAAGAAAUGGUGGAUAUGGGGUUACUGGAUUUCACCAUUGAUGUACGGGCAGAACGCAAUAGUAGUGAAUGAGUUCCUUGGAAAUAGUUGGAGUCAUGUAUGGUUUCUUUAACUCACCGUUUGUAUAUUUGUGCCAUCGGCUCUCAAUAAUCAACUGGUAUCUGAAGUUAUUUUUCGAAUCACAGAUUCCUGCAGGCUCCACAGAACCACUAGGAAUCCAAGUUUUGAAGAGUCGUGGGUUCUUUACAGAAGCAUAUUGGUAUUGGAUAGGAACAGGGGCGACAGUAGGAUUCAUACUACUAUUCAAUCUUUGCUUCGUUUUGGCUCUCACUUUCCUCAAUGGCAAGUGUCGUUAACUUCUCAAAUUCACACCUCUUGAAAGUUGGAUCUUAUUUUAAUUUGCUGCAAAUCAUGUUGGCAGCAUUUGAUAAGCCUCAGGCUGUCAUAUCUGAAGAGCCCGAAAGUGAUGAAUCUGCCCGCAAAACCGAACGAGCUAUUCAGUUAUCGAACCAUGCAAGUAGUCACAGAACUAACACAGGUAAAAGAACUCCAUUAAUUAAGUGUGUUUGUCCUCCAUUUUUUAAGCUAUUGGUUACUAAUUACCAAUAUAAUUUCAAUUUCUCAGCAGAGGGUGGAGUUGGAAUUAGCAGAAGUAGUUCAGAGGCUAUUGGAGAUGUCAGCAAUAACAGGAAGAAAGGAAUGGUUCUUCCAUUCGAACCACAUUCCAUUACAUUUGAUGACGUUAUUUACUCCGUUGACAUGCCACAGGUAUUGAGAUUUAGUAAAGUAGGAUUAUAUCUCACUUUGAUGUGAUACGAUUCUGAGAACUUGACAAAACUGAUCAUAGGGGUAUUGAAAUUUUCAGGAAAUGAAAGUUCAAGGAGUUGUUGAAGAUAGAUUGGUGCUUUUGAAUGGUGUGAAUGGAGCUUUCAGGCCUGGUGUCCUUACAGCUUUGAUGGGUGUUAGUGGUGCUGGAAAAACAACUUUGAUGGAUGUGUUGGCUGGUAGGAAAACUGGUGGAUAUAUUGACGGAGAAAUCAAAAUUUCAGGGUACCCCAAGAAGCAAGAAACUUUUGCUAGAGUUUCUGGAUACUGUGAGCAAAAUGACAUUCACUCUCCACAAGUUACGGUUUAUGAAUCCUUACUCUACUCAGCUUGGCUUCGUCUACCACCUGAAGUUGACUCUGAAACCAGAAGGGUAGGUGCUCUCUGCCUUAAAUAUGUUUUAGGCAUCUGGGAAUCGUUGUGCAUGUUAGGGUUCUGUGAAAUUUUCUUUAUAUCGUUCUUGUUUCCUUUUUGGCUUGCUUGUCAUCUGAUCAAGUUCAACCACUUAAUCAGCAUUCCCUGGUUGAACAGGCAUUUCCAUUUUAUAUUUUAUCCUGUGAUCAAGAUCGCUGAACCUGUUAAUCAGCAUUCCCUAGUUGAACAGGCAUUUCCAUUAUAUAUUUUAUCCCGUGAUGAAGAUCACUGAACCUGUUCUAAAUAGCUAAGAAGGGUACUGGUGAAGUUGAUAUUUGUAGUGAUGGUGCUAGAAAGCUUCAAUUCAAUUCAAUUCAGCCAGACACGCCCAAUUAACCUAUACUUUGCCAAAAUUGCUUCCAGAUGUUCAUUGAGGAAGUCAUGGAUCUUGUGGAGUUGAAUCCACUGCGCCAUGCAUUAGUGGGGUUGCCUGGUGUGAAUGGUUUGUCCACUGAGCAGCGCAAGCGGCUAACCAUUGCGGUUGAGCUAGUUGCAAACCCUUCUAUCAUAUUCAUGGAUGAGCCAACUUCAGGGCUAGAUGCUAGAGCCGCUGCCAUUGUGAUGAGAACAGUUAGGAACACUGUGGACACAGGAAGAACAGUUGUAUGCACCAUCCAUCAGCCUAGUAUUGACAUAUUUGAAGCUUUUGAUGAGGUAAGAAAUGUUAGCAAAUUAUCUCUAUCAGAACUUUUCCAUGAUUUUAUCACCAUAACAGUCUGCAUUAUUUAAAAUGGCAUGUAGCUAUUCCUGAUGAAACGAGGAGGACAAGAGAUAUAUGUGGGGCCUCUGGGUCGCCAUUCUACCCAUCUAAUAAAAUAUUUUGAGGUAUGUUGACGUGAUUAAUUAUCAAAUAACACAAACAGUUGUAUCUUCAGACCUAUACUCAGACUAACCAUCGACUAAGUCAUAUACCUUUCUAUUUGUGAAGGCAAUUGAAGGAGUCAGCAAAAUUAAAGAUGGUUAUAAUCCAGCAACUUGGAUGCUGGAAGUUUCUAGUUCAACACAAGAAAUGCCUUUGGAGGUUGAUUUUUCUAACAUUUACAAGAAUUCAGAUCUGUUCAGGUCAGAUAAAGUACUUGGCUAAGUGGUACAAACUGAAAAAUAUGCUAAUUAAGAAUUUGGUGAUGAAUUUGUCUAAAAUUUGUGGAUGGUGUGUGACAUAAUUCAGGAGAAACAAAGCUCUCAUUGCGGGAUUAAGCACACCUGCUCCUGGCUCCACAGACCUUUGUUUCCCUACGAAGUACUCAACAUCAUUUUUCACACAAUGUAUGGCUUGCUUAUGGAAGCAACAUUGGUCAUAUUGGAGGAAUCCACCGUACACUGCCGUGAGAUUUCUUUUCACAACCUUUAUAGCGUUGAUGUUCGGGACAAUGUUCUGGGACCUUGGAUCCAAAUUGUAAGCCACAACGGGGUUCUUUGAAACAAUUUAAAAGUUCAGACUUUGAUGAUUUGCUUCGACGUGCUGAUCUAAUUUCUCUCACAAACUGUAGGAAUAGCACCCAAGAUCUUUCGAAUGCAAUGGGUUCGAUGUAUGCAGCUGUUUUCUUCAUUGGUGUCCAAAACGCAUCAUCCGUCCAGCCAGUGGUGGCUGUUGAGAGAACUGUCUUCUACAGGGAAAGAGCUGCCGGAAUGUAUUCAGCUUUGCCCUAUGCCUUUGCACAGGUAACACAAUUCAUCAGGCGUUGCAGAGACUUCACUUGUCGUCAAGUAGAAUGUUAUGCAUGUUUUCUUAACCAAACUUCCAUCUUGUGUUGCAGGUCCUGAUCGAGCUUCCAUAUGUUUUUGUUCAAGCUUCAGCCUAUGGCUUUAUAGUUUAUGCGAUGAUUGGAUUUGAAUGGACUGUUGCGAAGUUCUUCUGGUACCUGUUCUUUAUGUACUUCACAUUAUUAUACUUCACCUUCUACGGAAUGAUGGCUGUUGCAAUAACUCCAAACCACCACAUUGCUGCCAUAGUUUCCUCUGCAUUUUACGGAAUAUGGAACCUAUUCUCAGGGUUUAUAGUUCCUCGGCCCGUAAGUGUUCGCUAUCUUACCAUUUCAAAUUCAAAAUCUCCGUAGUGUCGGGUUACCUUGUGGAAUAAUUUUGUGAUUCAUUUGUGUGCUUCGGUCUGUAACAGAGCAUACCUAUAUGGUGGAGAUGGUACUAUUGGGCUUGUCCAGUAUCAUGGUCCUUGUAUGGAUUGCUUGUAUCACAGUUUGGAGAUAUACAGAAAGACCUCACCGAAACUCAAACAGUGAAACAAUUUGUGAAG
rnacentral:lncRNA from 1 species